GUAGAAAAUGUCGAAGAAGUUAAUAACAAUGAUGAAGAAAUUUUUGUAACUCAGGAUCAGCAAAGAGAACAUGCCAAUCAAGUGAGAGCCACAAUAACAACAGAUAUGUGGAGAGCUUUUAUAAACGUAUGAAAUAUGAAUGUGUUUUACUUUUUAUAUACUUGGUUUUAUUAUAAAGCUGAAUUUAUUGCAAAUCCAUUUGAUUGAUUUUAAUAAUCCAUUUAUUUUGAUUUCGAAUUCCGUAUGUUUGAUUUCGAAAUCUAUAUGUUUGAUUUAAGAAUCAACGGAUUUCUUAAAUCCUAGAAGAAUUCUCAAAUCCAUUAAAAUUAUAGAAUCAAUAACCCCUACUUAGUGUACGUGGCUUUCUAGAAUUCAAACGAUCCAUAAAAAUACAAAUAUAUACUUUGCCGCGCGAUCCAGUCAAAGCCGAAGCAACACAUUUGCUUGUUUCCUCUGUCUCUUUCCUCCUGGAGAAAUCAGAAGUUUACUUUCUCUCUUUGUAAAUUACAUUUAUAAGCCCAAUAGAUAAAACAAUUAUACGGCCCAAUAAGUUGAGCCCAUUAUGACCUCGUUAAUUAAAUCGAAUAAUCUUUUCUUGGUCAUCAAGACUCUAAAACCUUUCUUCCUCUCCAUUGCUUAAACCCUAUCCACUAUGAACCUUCCGUCCUCUACGCCGGCAACUUCUGAGACGGCUGACUCAGCUUCGUAUUCCACCGAGACAUGCGACUACUGCGGCAGCCAAGAUUCUUGGGUCAUACACCCAGCACGUCUCCGCGGCGUCCUCCGCUUCUUCUGCACGCACUGCCUCCUCCGCAGCCAUCCGAUGUCCUUUUGCCCCACCUGCUUAGCCUUCUAUGAUUCUUCUCCUCCGCCUCAUCAGUCUCGCCGCGUCUCUUGCUCCGACUGCGGCUCCUACACUCACAUCCAAUGCGCCGACGGAGACGACGACGCAGUUUACACUCAUUACCUCUGUCCUCCUUGCCGGGACCCUAUCUCCUUCUCCUUCUUCCGUCCUUUCGUCGACACUGAUGGCGUUCCCUGCUUGGAUAAAUCCCUCUCCGAAGCUUUCUUAUGUGCCUGCAAGAUCGCCGCUUUUUCUAUGAACAGGGCAGUGUGUGCCUUUAAAAUGGAAGCUGAACGGAAGGGGAAAGAGGGUGCCGUGGAGAAGAAGAGAGCGUGUGAGACUCUUGAGUAUUUCGUUAAGCUCUACGAGAAGGCGAGGUCGGAUGUUGACAAGCUUAGAGAAGCCUCCUUUGAGCAGUACCCGGCAGUGCAAGUUAAGCAGGAAGAAUAGUGUAGACUAUGUUAUUUAUUUAUUUAUUUACAGUUUCUUGUUGGUUACGUUUACUAUGUGUAGGAAUCUUUUGAACUGUCAAGUGUUGAAUCCUAACUAAGUUUUUUUUCCUAUGUAUCUGUGUCUGACAAAAGCCUACAAUCUAGUGAUGAAUUGGGGAUCAUUUAUAGUCCAGAGUGUUGUGAUGCUAUUAGUGGUUAUGAACACAUGAUUCUUAAUGCAUUGGUCAAUAGUAAUUGAUGUGAUCACGUAUGACAAUCUAAAGGUCUUUAUCAGCUUUAUUUAUUACAUUCUAUAACUUGUGGACAAGUUUGAUGUAGGAUGUGAAGGAAUUGGGUGAUAUCAAGACUGAUAUUAGUUGCUUUCUCUAGGCGUUGAACUAACGAACAAAUCAUUUUAGAUCAUAUUAAAAGUAGAUAGACCGUAUCUUACAGUGUAGGAGCGUUGAACCAAACAAAUUUAUAAUGUCUUACAUUCCUAGCUUCUUCUUGGUACAAUACUCUAAAUGAGCUUACAUAACUAUGUGAUAAAACUAACUCAACUCCUAUAUAUUUCUAUUUCUAAUGAAAUAGCACUGCAUGAAGAAUCAGUGUUACCACCAUAGUGUGACCAAAGUGAAUCUUCAAGUUGGUAGAGUCUGAUGGUGUUGGAUUGUUACCAUUAGGUGAACCAUCAAAACCGUAGACCGCUGAACCUCCAGAGGAUGGAUUGGGUAGAGUGUUUGAUGAAGGAUUCGCCGGGUUAAAAACCGCUGGUGGAGUUCCAACCCUUGAAUAUAUAGAUAGAGUUAGGAAAAUCUGAAAGAUGGUUUGAGACAAAAAGAAAAAGAGAGCUGAAAGAAUGUUUUUAAUUACCCGAUUGUCACGCCUCCUGUUGGUGUUAUAGGUGUUGGUGUGAGAGGUGGCUGGUUCACUGUUUGUGUCGAUGGAGUUGGCGUUGUUCCUACUGGAGAUGACGUUGAUGAACCAGAACUAGAACCUGUCUGGUAAACGCAAGAACCAGUACCUGAUUUGUAACAAACAAUUCAAAAGACAGUCAAGCACUGCAAGGCAGAGUAUCCUCUGUUUUUGUCUCACUUACUUGGGUUGGUGCUAACAACUGAGGCUGCACCACCAAAAUCACAGCUUUGAGGAGAAGGAUUCUUCUGGUAAUAGCUGUUGAAGGCAAAUGAGGCAAGAUUCUGAAGACUGAUAGGCGAAUAACAGCUGCCUCCUUGCUGUAUCUGAGAGCAAUCCGCUUUACCGCUUCCACAGGCAUAGUCAAGAGCCAACUGGAGUGAGGUUUGAGAGGCUCCAGGCUUUGCUACGCACCAGCUUUGUCCUGAAACCGAUGGGGAGGUUGAGACAACAGGCGGUGGAAUCACAGGAACCGUCCCUGAGGGUUGUGUUGGAGGGUACUGAGUCACUGGGUUGGUGGUCACUGGUGGUGUGAGUGUAGGAGGGACUACUGUGACUGGAGGGUUAAGAGGAAGGGCUGGAGAUGGAUUUGUGGGGGUUAUGGUCACCGGAGGGAAUGUAGUAGCCGGUGGUGUAGUUGUGGGGUUUGUUGGGAAGACCGUUGGUGGGUUUAUGACAUCAUGAGUUGUUGUUGAGGAACAGAGUGGGACAAGAGAAAGAAACAAGAAGAAGUAACUCUGUUUUGCCGCCAUCAGAGCUCGAGGUUGUUUGUUUUUUUUCUUCUCUUCUUUCUUGGGUUUAUAAGGAGAACAAAAGCUUUUGAGAUUCUUCAUGAGAAAAUUGGCGGAGAAAAAAGGGAUGAAGCUGACUGUACUUAACAUGCAAGUGACUAAGAAGAAAAAAUAAAGAGAAAAAGAUGUUUGCUUUGCUAUGAAGUCUUUUGGAUUUGGCCACUGACUAAUCUCAAUCUGUUUUCUUUUUAUUUUCUUAUAUAUUUUGUACAUAGAUAUAAGCUUUUGCCAAAGAAAGAAAAACCCAUUUUUGUCAGACCUGUUUCAGACAUGAGCAUAUGCCUAAAGUUCUACAAAGUUUGCAAGAAAGAAGCUGCAAAUUGGUAUAAAUAUAAUAUUUUUCUCUUAUCCAAAAAGGAGAAAAAGGAAGAGAUUAAGAUCAUGAAAUUAAUUAACCCAAUGGUUGAUCUCUGCUUAGCUCAGCAAACCCACAAAGAUUUAAAAGAAACCAUCAAAGCGGAAAGUGAUUGAGAAAAGCAGAGAACGUAAAAGCUUUGUUAGCUGUUUCAUGGAUUAAAAAUUUACUGUACUAAUUCUAAAGCAAACUUCUCAUUUAUCCUCUACGCGAUUUGAAUAUUGUUCUUAGUUCUUUAGAUAAGAAGAUCUAUUCAUGCAAGUAGGGACAACCCAUGUGGAAUGAUAGAUCUUGAUGCUUUAUUCUAAAAAGACUGCAUGGGUUCAAAAAUAUGUGUCACAGACAAAAGCUACCAUUGAACUAUUGUCACAUAAAAAAGUUUUAACAUUAGUUCUUGUAUUCAUCUGAAUCUGAAUAGAUGGAAAUCAAGAUUGAUAUUAGAUAAUGAAUCCCUUGAUAAACAACUUCAAAAGGAAGAUUAUGAAAUAAGAGCUAAGGCACUGUUGAUUUUAGUGGUUAGGCAACAGAGUUCCAGGAAAGGGAGAAAGAGAGUGAGAUUUUGGUUACUCACUUGUGGGUUUUAUUACUUUCUUUAUGAUACUUGGUCCAUCAACAUAUCUGAGAAGAAAGGAUCUGAAAGAGCCUCUUUAGCUGAUUUAUACUUCUCCAUCCGCUUCUUCAGUGACCUCAAUUCUCUUUCAUCUUUCGAAGACCGCUCCUGAAACAUAGACGCAAAUGAGUAUCAAUAUGCUUUUCUAAGUUGAGACAGCUCCUAACCAGCUAUGUGUCCUGCAAACUUACGAAUGAUUUCUUGGUCAGUAAGAGAUCCACGAGGUAGAUUAACCAGAGAACGUUUGUUCGAGCAAAGCUGUUGUUAGAAAGAAUAAGAAACAAACCAUAGCAAAUAUAAACAUUAGCAAAUCAUUUAAAGCAAAACUUCAAUUUGGCUUGGGAAAGUUACACUUACUGUCCUUCCCAGCUAUCUUUGGUAACUGCCUUCAUCUUUCUGUAAGUUUCCGACUGAAAUAUGACAUUAUAAGCUUAAAUAAAUAUACAAUUUUCAUAGCUCUUGAAAUAACUGAAAGCUUCAUUAAAUUCCUCACUUGUUUAUCUCCUUUUGGUCCUUUGAAAAGGUAUGGAUCAGCAGUAAGGUCCAGAAAGAGUAUCUUUUCACCUGAUCAUGGUAGUUAAGCAUUAGAUAGGACCUCAUGGUUCACAUUAUAUCACAGUAUUGAUAAACCAGAACCUCACCUGUGUUGAUUCUUGAAAGAGUAAAGUCGAUUAUAGAUAUCUGUACUCCAAAAGUUUUGAUGAAAACUUGCUUCCCCUCGACAAUAAAAGGCAGAGUAGUCGAGUUAUUACGACUUAGAAGAAUGUUUCCCCUGAAAAAGAGACAAAAAUUAUCAGACGAGAGAACACUACUAAGUACUAAAGUGUACCAAAUUAAAGGCUAAGCUUACCAGUGCAGAUCUCUGUGCUCGAACUCAAAAGCAGCUUCAGCAACAGCUAAGCCAGCGGUGACCUUAUAUGUGAAAUGCAUGCUAUUAACCAGAACCAAAAAUAAUUUACUCAAUCUGAUUACAAGAAACAGAGCCUAUAAUUUACCUGAACCAGUAAGCUCCGUGCUUCAUCAAAGUUCAAAAGAACGAAGCCUUCAAGGUCUUUGCCACCAUGUUCCAGAACAAACAUGACAUAGCACUGGAAGCAAAAACCACACGGCAAGUAAAUGUUGUUUCUACAGCAUCCUACAUAAACAGACCUUUCUGAAAUCUAAUGAAGUGAAAAGAAUCUGACUUGUUUCUCCGGAAAAUCUGGGUGAUCAUUUUCAGAUCCAUUUUUUGCAUCCCAUUCCUCCCAUGCUUUUACCAGUAUAGGGUCAUAGGGACCUUGGCACACUUUUAUACUGCAAAAACAUCAUGAGCACAGAUACACAAAAGUUCAGUAUAAGAUUUAUAACAUAAAGUUAUAUCUCCAGCCUAUUUUAGUUACUGAGAAGACGUACUCUUGAGUUCUUAUGAAUGUCGGGCACAAAUUCUGAGCUUCAGUCUCAUGUUCUCUAAGUUGAUUAAGAGUCCAAGAGAGUAUCACUUCCUCAAGCAGUUCGUCAGCUCUCUGCAACCAAUGACCAUAAAAUACGAUGUCAUUAAUUUUAUAUAUAUAGUAUUCUCUUUCACCAUCAAUGCAUUGCUCUAGAGAUGAUUAACAAAUUUAAAUUACAACCAAUGUGUUCUUCUCUAGAUAGAAUUAACUAAACUUGCAGUCACUGACCUCUCCAAUAUUUCCUCUAAUGCUAAAAAUGAUCCUUUCACUAACUAGAAAUUGUAUCAUUGAGUGCAACAAAAGAAGUGAGUUAAGAAAAAUACCUUCUGUAUUUCUCCAUUAACGGUAAAGUCUCCAUCGAUUGGAACAAUUUUGCAGACACUAGGACCAGCCCUAAAAGCCUCCCCAUACGUACCUUCACCAAUCUUGACAAUGCCUUCUGGUUCACUGCAAGGAGUCAUGAUUAUAAUCAGCUCAAAUUAAACACAGCGAGUUAAGAACAGUAAAUAACACUCCUUAAAGAGUACACUGUAGCACUAGACAAACAGUUCUAGAACAUAAAGGAUCAUUUAUAGGUCCUUACCAGAAUUUGGAGAACACUUCCAUGAAGUUUGAUGGUCGCAUCUGUCCACAGGCGGACAACAGAUCAAGAAAUGGCUUCUCAUAAUCCAGAUGAGAGGAUGCCAGAUCAGACGUCAAAGACAGUCGCUUCAGCUCAUCUUCAAGGUCGAUUUCUUCAGUCUUGAUCUUUCUAACAGACUCAUCUUCAAAGUCAAUUUCCUCUGUCUUGAUCUUUGUAAGAGGCACAUCUCCAGCAUCUAAGCUGUCACCACCGCUCUGAAUGAGCCUGAAAAUUGAACUGUUGCUAGCAGAUUCUGGGGUUCCUAGAGCAAACGCAUCCAAGGCAUCAUCAUCAAGUAUUGGCUCUAAGCGUGUGGUUGAGUUUGAGGUUUCAAGUAUCUUGGAGAGUGUGCUUGAAGGACCACAAGGACGAUUUAACUUCUUCGAGAUCAGCCAUUUCUCUAAUCUUGUGGCCAGAUGCGGCACCUCAGGAACAACUUGCUCACCAUUGAUCCAUGUACUAGCAUUCUUGGUCUUGGGAGAUGGACUCUCUUCCACAAGCUCAAAAGCAUCAACCUCAUGAAAAUACUCCUUCUCUUUCUGCAAGUCUGGAGCUUUCACACCUUUUCCCUGAGAGAUUAGAACAUAAUGCUUUUAUAUAUCAUCUCCCAAAAGAAAGAUAGAGACCUCAGACCACUAGGCUUCAUAACUCAAUGAAACAACUAAGACUACCUUUGGUAUAGCAGGCUUCUUUCUCCUAACAGGCUUCUUCUGAGGCUGAUUGUUGACAAAAGCUCCCACUGCUAUACUCUCCCUCCCUCUGCCACAGUUAUCAAUCCUUUCAUCAGUCUACUACAAUUUUAAAAAAUUGGUGCCACUUCUUGGCAUUUCAACAAACACAUGGUGUGCACUAAUCUCAUAGCUCAAAAAAAAGAGAAUCAGAAGAACAAAAUAACGGUAACGCUCAGAAUAUAACCUGGUGGAAAGGGAACGAGUCCAGCUAUCUCUCUUGGGUCCAUUGAUAAAACUUGUACGAACCCCUUUAACCGACCACGCUCUGUUUCUCAGACACACAUCGAAAUUAAAACAUUGUCAGAUCACAGAGCCAAAAACAACAACAAAAGGAAGGUUUUUGUUUUGGUUCAAAAUUACAAAUUUUCGGCUGCGGAAGGCUUCUCAAGCUUCUUCCUUCUCUGAUAAACUUCGACCUGAGGCACAUCUCUGAACCCAUCUCCGUCUUCUUCCUCCGAUCUAAUUAUAUCAGACCAAAGAUCAACUGUCACCAAAAACAAACCUUUACACUUUAUACAUAAUCUCACUUAGAAACCCAUAAACAAAACGAAAAUUAGACAUAGGAACUCGAUAUGUUCACCUCUCUGUCCCAUCUCCGAUCCUUCUCCGCGCAACGUCACCGAAGAGACUGGUUUUUGAGUUUUUUGAAUUAAAGUUUCAUGACCUGGAAGGCGGGAGAAUUUUGUAGGUCUAAUUAUUUGGAAUUUUAACUGGGCCUCUAAAUAAAAUUUAAAGCCUAUUAAAUAAGCCCACAUUGAACUUUAAACCGGGAUUCUAACCAAACCAAAUGGUAUUCCUUGGUUUAUUGCAAUUGUGAGAAGGAGUUUAAACCCCUUUUUUUUUGUCAAAACAGAACGUUUAAACUUUUUAAGUAUAAAGAAUAGGACUAAAUAGAAAGUUGCAAAUGAAGGCUUUGUAUUGGUUAGUUGGACUUUCUCUUUCAGGAAGACGUCGAUGAACAAAGACUAAGCAACCACUUUGGUUAUUUUUUCACAACUCAAAAUCUAUAUAAUAAAUACGAAUAAUUUCAUAUUGAUUAGUAAUGAUUUAAACUCAAAUCAUCAUCCGAACUUUCUCCUAUAUAUGUUUCUUUUCCUCAUAAACGUACAUGCAGAUAAUGUUUCAUGUGAUGCAAAACAAUAUAAUUAUUGAGAAAGAGUCCAAUUGAGUUAAAAAAAAGAGUAAAUUGUACUUGAGUAUCUCUAAAUUAUAGUUUACAGCUCAUACUCUAGAUCAAAAGAAUCCAAAAACAAAAAAAGGGCAGAAGUACAACUUUCAAAGAACAUGGAAUGAAUCCACACCUGCAAAGGUAUGUGUAUUUCCUAAUGAAUAAUCUGAUUAUUAAACUUUGAAAUAUAAGCCACUAGCAAUAAUUAUACUAAGACAAUUAUAAUUUUUCAACGUAUUGAUUGACAUGGACAUGGACAGUUAUAUUAUAUGAAUAAGACCUAGAAAAAGUAUCCUUAAUUUGUUGGCGUCCUUAAUUGAUUGACAGUGACAAUUAUAUUAUAUGAAUAAGACCAAAGCCUGCUUGCUACUUUAGUAUUUGUUUCUGCACGUUCUUGAGUUUCAACGACUAAAGUUGGGUUGGUGUUCUUCUUUUUUUUUUUCAUUUUGAUCUCCUCUCUCUCUCUUUUUUCUUUUCUAGUGAAACACGAUGGGAAACGUAGUUUCAAGCGUACUUUCAAUCGGUUUUGAAGCUGCAAAAAAUUUGUUGUUUGAAAAGGCCAAGUAUAUACUCGAACUGGAAGCUCAUCUUGAGGCUUUGGAAAAAGUUAAGCCAGACCUUGAAGAUGCGAAGGUUGCCUUGAAGGGGAAACUCGAGAUGAAUUUUCGAAACGGUUUGGGAAGGGAUGAAAGAUGUAAGGUAUGGAUUUCAAAAGUUGAAGCCAUCCAACCAAAGGUCACUAAACUGCUUGAAGAUAGUACUGCAGAAAUCGAAAGAUUGUCUAUGUGCGGGUACUGUUCCAGCAACUUCUUUUUAACCUAUUGUUAUGGUAGAGAUGUAUUAGAAACGUUGAAGGAAGUACAAAGUCUUUUGUCCUCAAAACCUUCUGGCGAGGUGGCUAGUACGGGUCCUCCACCUGGUAUAGAGGAGAGAGCCACUGAACCCACAGUCGGUUUAGAGAAGAUGCUUGAGACUACAUGGAGCCAUCUGAUGGAGAAGGACGUUGGAAUCUUGGGUCUUUACGGGAUGGGUGGAGUAGGGAAAUCCACACUUCUCGAAAAAAUCAACGAGAAGUUAGUUGAGAAAAAAGAUGAGUUUGAGGUGGUGAUAUUUGUAUUGGUGUCUCGAGAUCUACAAGUUGAAAAGAUCCAAAAUGAGAUCGGUGAAAGACUAGGCAUCUGUGACGAGGAGUGGAAGAAAAAAACUCAAGAAAAGAAAACUUCUCGUAUAAAUUAAAUGAUGUUCUUGCAAAGAGAAGAUUCGUUAUGCUAUUAGAUGACAUAUGGGAGAAAGUGAAACUAAAAGAUAUUGGAAUUCCAUUUCCCUCGCAAGCAAAUGGAAGCAAGGUUGUGUUUACCACUCGCUCGAAAGUCGUUUGUGGUCGAAUGAGAUCUCAUCAUGUCUUGGAAGUCAAGAAACUAGACGAGGAGAAUGCUUGGGAACUAUUCCGGCGGAACUUUAGAGGUAACAACACACUAAGUGAUCCAGAGAUCCUCAAGCUAGCGAGGCAACUUUGUGAGAAAUGUGGAGGCUUACCCCUAGCACUCAACGUUAUUGGGGAAACAAUGGCAUACAAAACGUCAGUACCCGAGUGGCAGUGUGCGAUUGAUGAUCUGGAUUCGAAUGCGGGUGGCUUUCCAGAAGUUGAAGACGAGAUUCUUAAAAUUCUCAAGUUCAGCUAUGAUGAUCUUAAGGACGAGAGAGUAAAGCAAUGUUUCCAGUAUUGUGCUUUAUUUCCACAAGAUGCUGGAAUUGAUAAAGACGUGUUGGUCGAGUACUGGAUAUCCGAAAGGAUCAUAGAUGAAGGUGGAGAUAGAAAAAGAACUAUCAACGAGGGUCAUAAGAUAAUCGGUGACCUCGUUCGUGCAUGUCUCUUGAUGACCGUUGACACUUCAGAGAAAGUAAAAAUGCAUGACGUGCUUCGCCAAAUGGCUCUUUGGGUUGCGUCUAGUUUCGGGGAGAAGGAAGAGAACUUUAUCGUCAAGACGUGUGCUGGACUGAAAGACAUGCCUAAGGUUACGGACUGGAAGGCGGUGAGAAGGAUGUCCCUUGGAAGAAAUGAGAUCAGGGACAUCUCGAUUUCCCCCGACUGUCCUAACCUUACCACGUUGUUGUUAACACGCAGCGGCACGCUGGCGAACAUCUCAGGUGAAUUUUUUCUAUCCAUGCCUAAGUUAGUGAUUUUGGAUCUAUCUACCAACAUAAAUCUAGCCAAGUUGCCAGAAGAAGUUUCAAAGUUAGUGAGCUUGCGACAUCUUGACUUAUCAACAACAUGCCUAGAGAACUUGCCUGAAGGAUUAGGAAAGUUGACCCAGUUGAGAUACUUUGCACUGAGAGGUGUACGAACUCGUCCAAGCCUCAGUGUGAUAUCAAGUUUGGUAAAUAUAGAAAUGCUUUUGUUACAUGAUACUACUUUUGUAAGUCGGGAGUUGAUAGAUGAUAUCAAGUUAAUGAAAAAUUUGAAAGGCUUGGGGGUAAGUAUCAAUGAUGUGGUUGUUUUGAAACGUCUUUUAAGUAUCCCCAGGUUGGCUAGCUGUAUCCAACAUAUAACUCUGGAGAGAGUUAUAUCAAAAGACGGUCCGUUGCAGUUUGAAACGGCUAUGGCUAGCCUUCGCUCUAUCGAGAUACAAGGAGGUACCAUCUCUGAUAUAAUGGAGCAUACGAGAUAUGGAGGCAGAAGUACAAGUGCCAUAUCCUUCCAAAACCUCAGCGUUGUCAAAAUUUCUAGAGUCAAUGGAAUGCAAGAUUUGUCGUGGUUGGUGUUUGCUCCGAAUGUUAUAAGUAUACACGUAAUGUGGUCAUCAAGAGAACUGCAAGAAAUUAUAAGCAGAGAAAAGGUUUUUGGUAUACUAAACGAGGGGUCUAGUAUUGUACCCUUUCGAAAACUACGUGAGAUUCAGUUACGCUUUUUGAUGGAACUGAAGAGUAUCUACUGGGAACGGUUGGAAUUGCCAAGUCUAGAGAGAGUGUUUAUAAUGAUGUGUCCAAAGCUGAAAAAGCUUCCAUUUAGCAAGGAGAGGGCAUACUACUUUGACCUACGUGCACACAAUGAAGAAUGGUUCGAAAGGCUUGAGUGGGAAGAUGAAGCUAUUGAGGACUAGGUGGAUCCCAUCCGUAUCAGGUAAAAAAAAAGGCAUAUAACAUUGUUGUCAGUGUUUAUCUUACAUCAUCCUUCACUUCACAUCUGCUUUGAUAUUCUCAGGUCGCUCUCAGAUAGACAUGCAACUCCACAGCUUCUGAGAUAAUCCAUUUCUUGAGUUGCAACAGUUUGUCUUCAGCUCUCCUGUAAUUGUAUCGUAUUUUCUUGUUUCAUAUUAUGAUUGUUUUGAAUUUGGUUUGAAGAAACUUGUAUGCGCUUUGGGUGUUUUUAUUUAUUUUUACUUUACUUUCGGAAGUGUGAGUGAUACCUCAAAAUACUUUGUACCAAAAAUAAAUAAACUUGUUGUGUGAUGUUGUAUGAUUUUGCGUGGUGAGAAUAAAAUUGGUAUAAGGGUAUUAGUACACUUUGGUAUAAAAUCUUAUUUGUACACUUAAAAAGGGGACAUUUGCUAAAACCAACCCAAAUAUUCAAGUCAAAUGUAAAAGUGUACCCCACUUUCAGUCAAAUGCAAAACCAACCUAAAGGAGUAGUGAAAGUACUAUUUCACCCUUAUGACCAAACAAAAAACAGAAAUGUAUUUUACGUUUCUAUCCUUUGGAAGUCUACACGUAAUAAAAGAAGUCUACAUAUAUAUAGACUUCCUACGAAGUCUACUUUAUAGACUUGUUUUGUAGUCUACACUCUAAUUUGGUCUACUAAUUUAAUUUUGAAAAUGUAUAAAAAUAAUUAUUGUGAUAUUUUUAAUUAAUCAUCAAUAUAAUGGAUAAUAUGAAGUAAAUAAAUUAAAAUUUCAUAUAAUCGAACAAUUUUGAAGAAUAUAUACUAAUUUGGUUAUCAUGUGCUAGACUAUGUUCAUAGUUUAGAAACAAAAGGUUCUAACAUGUUAUGUCUUUUAGUAGUUGAUUUCAUAGGGUUAGAUUUUAGAUUUUGUUUUUUUUUUGUUUUAUUAACUUAAAUCUGCAUAUUAAUGUUUAGUAGUUUAUAUUUUGUAUAAAUGAGACUUUUUGAUUAUCAAGCAAAACAUUUAGGGUUUGAUAUUUGUGGUUUAGGGUUUCGUAGACCUACAAUAAAGUCUAUUUAUCUGAAGACGUCUUUUUCAGUCUAUAUUUUUCAAUUUGUUUUACAAAAAAUCAUUAUAUUUAAACUAAGUUAAGUUCCUUAAGAAUAAAAAAGUGAAAUCAUAUACUAUAACUAUUAAAAAAUAAAGAAAUAAAUUUAAUAAAUCAUAUAUUAAAAUUAUUAAAAUAAUAAAGAAUAAACAACAAUAAUUAAAUUAUUAUAGUAGACUUCCAAAAAGGUCUACUAUGUUAUAGUAAGAUCUACUCCAAAAUUUUAAUUUUAGUAGACUUCAAACGAAGUCUACAGUAUCGUAAAUUUUAACCUAGUUACAUUUUUGUCUCCCUAUAUAAACAAAAUUUAUUCAAUCUCUCUCUAAAGUGGCUGCACAAGUUCUUAAAACUCUCUCCCUUCUCUCUAAAACUUUCUCUCUUCUCUCUAAAAUUCUCUCAAUUGUUUCUAAAUCUCUCUCAUUAUCUUCUUUCUCUCUAAAAUUUUCUCAAGUCUUUCUCACAAUAUUAUCUUGUCAUUUUAGAUAUUAUGAUUCAUGGUUUUCAUCUUCUCCUUUAAAAAAUGUAAGUUUUAGAUCUAUAGAUUUUAAAUGUGUAUUUUAUGUUUAUUUCUCACAAUAUUAUCUUUUUUUGGUAGGUAUUAUCACUCAUGGAUUUCAUCAUCUCCUCUAAAAAUGUAAGUUUUAGAUUAAUAGAUUUUAAAUAUGUAUUUACAUGUUUAUAUUCAAAUAAAUUUAUAGAUCAAGCUCUCUACAUUAAUUUGCUACUAGUUUACCUUAUAAAUUAUAUUAUGUAAAGUAUUUUCAGAUUUAAAAUUAUUUUCACAUUUCAAAAUAUAUAGAUUUUUUCAGAUCUGAAAAUUAUCAGACAGUGUAGACUUCUAAAGAAGUUUACUAAAGCUUGCAGACUUCAUAUGAAGUUUACUAAACCAUAAAGUUUAAGCAGACUUCAUUGGAAGUCUACAAAAAUAUGACUUUAAUUUUUUUUCUAUGUUUUUUAAUAAUUUUAUCUUAUUUUGCAGGUAUUUUCUUCCAUAGUUGUUCUCUUCUCCUCCUAGAAAUGUAAGGUUUACAUCUAUAGAUUUAAAAUAUGUGUUCUAGUAUUUAUAUUCAAAUAAAGUUACAUAUUAAAAUUCAUAUUAAUAUGUCUUUAAUUUAUAACUAUUUUGUCUAUUAAAUCAUAUUUUUAAAAGUUUUUUAGAUUUAAACUUAUUUCAUAUUUUUAAUGUAUUAUUUUUCAGAUCUAUUUUUUUUGAUAGAGUAGACUUCAUUUGAAAUCUACUUAAAACUUACGGCUGGUAGACUUCAAAUGAAGUCUACUAGCCUUGAAUUUUAAGCAAAUUUCAUUAGAAGUUUACUCAAAUAUGAUUUUAAUUUUUAUCUUAUUUUUUAAAAUUUUAUUUUAUUUUGCAGGUAUUCUCUUCCAAUAUUUUCAAAUCAUCUUCCCAAAAAUGUAAGCUUUCCAUAUAUUCAUUAUAAGAUAUUUUGUGUUUAUAAUGAACUAAAUUUAUAGAUUCAUACAUUAUCUUUUUGCUUUGUUACAAGGAUGACAAAAAACCAUUUUUGAAAUAUUUUCCAGAACAAAGUAUUUUCAAAUUUUCUAAAUGCACACUUUUAAAUAUGAAAAUUUUCCAUUAGUGUAGACUUCAACUAAAGUCUACUAAACAAUAACUUUACGUAGACUUAAUAAAAAGUCUACUAAAAUAUGAUUUUAUUUUUUAUCUUAUGUUUUUCUCAUAACUCUAUCUUAUUUGGCAGGUACUUUUUCCAAGACUUUAUUUGAAGCAUCAAGAUUAUGAAAAAUCAAACAUACUCAAGAAUACUUUUUAAUAUAUUGCUCUGUAAUAACUUUCAUAAUAAAAUAUUAAUUUUUAAAUAAUUUUUUAAUGCAUAAUCUAUAAACAUUGUAUUCAUUUUUAGUUGUUUUCACUUGUAUGAUAUUAUUAAUUUUUUGUUAGAUAUCAAUUUUUUCACAAGAUCUAACCAACCAAACAAGUAAAACCACCAUAAGCUAAAAUAAUAACUAACACACAUGUGAGAAGAAGAAAAUCUAUACAAAAUUUUCCCAAAAAUUUUCAAGAAUAAUACUAAUCAAAACAAUUUGCAAUAAGUAUCAAGUGUAUAAUUAUAACACAUUAAAUUGUGAAAUUCAUCCAAGACCAUUAAAAUUUUACUAACAUACACUGUAAAAUAAUUAAAUCAUGAAAAAAUAUGAUGAAUAAUACACAAAUACACUUUUAAUAGAAUUUACGACGUAGACUUCAACUGCAGUCUACAUUUGUAGAUUUACAAAAACGUCUACACUUAUUAUUUAACAUAUAGUCAAUCCAAAUUUUUUUAGUGUAUUGGCGCAGGCUUGAUACACAAAGGCGUACAAAGUGUGUCUUAGAUAACUCGAUCAAGUUCCGUACUUGUCGAUUAUUCGUGACAGGCAUAAGAGGAGUAUAUUCCUAUUCGGAGUCAUUUGUUUUAAAUGAUGUUUGGUAAGGAAUAGGUUAGCACCAUCUUCUCAAUUUUGUUGUCCAGAUCAUAAUCUUCUUGUGUCAUUUCAAGAAGUUUACCAUGUGUACAGCCAUCAUGCACAAGGAACAUUCUUCAACCUUUCCGAUUCUUCAUCUUUUUCGAAUAUUUUGUCACCCAAAAUGUCUUUGGCCCAUACUUCACACUCGCUCUAAGUUUCCAACCACAUCCUUGAACACGACACUUAGCCACAUACAGAGUUUUUGUUGUCUUAUAUGCUGAAAAUGUAAAAUUAUAUUCCACAGUCACCGACUUCAGCUUUGAAACAAGCUCAGCCUUACUAGCAAAACUAUAAACGAAGACUUAGAAAUACGUCUACAAUUAUUAGCUAACAACAUUGUCAAAUCAAAUGAAUUAUACCUUCAUAAUUAUAAAAAAAAAAUUAUUUUCAAAAUCACUCAAACCCAUUAGGAUUAACUAACACACACUGUCAAACAAAAAAACUAGAAAAAANNNNNNNNNNNNNNNNNNNNNNNNNNNNNNNNNNNNNNNNNNNNNNNNNNNNNNNNNNNNNNNNNNNNNNNNNNNNNNNNNNNNNNNNNNNNNNNNNNNNNNNNNNNNNNNNNNNNNNNNNNNNNNNNNNNNNNNNNNNNNNNNNNNNNNNNNNNNNNNNNNNNNNNNNNNNNNNNNNNNNNNNNNNNNNNNNNNNNNNNNNNNNNNNNNNNNNNNNNNNNNNNNNNNNNNNNNNNNNNNNNNNNNNNNNNNNNNNNNNNNNNNNNNNNNNNNNNNNNNNNNNNNNNNNNNNNNNNNNNNNNNNNNNNNNNNNNNNNNNNNNNNNNNNNNNNNNNNNNNNNNNNNNNNNNNNNNNNNNNNNNNNNNNNNNNNNNNNNNNNNNNNNNNNNNNNNNNNNNNNNNNNNNNNNNNNNNNNNNNNNNNNNNNNNNNNNNNNNNNNNNNNNNNNNNNNNNNNNNNNNNNNNNNNNNNNNNNNNNNNNNNNNNNNNNNNNNNNNNNNNNNNNNNNNNNNNNNNNNNNNNNNNNNNNNNNNNNNNNNNNNNNNNNNNNNNNNNNNNNNNNNNNNNNNNNNNNNNNNNNNNNNNNNNNNNNNNNNNNNNNNNNNNNNNNNNNNNNNNNNNNNNNAAGUUUUUUGGGUUAUAAUGAGAAAAAAAGUGGUUGAAAAUUGAAUUCUAGAGCUUUAGAGCUCAAAAAUGGUGGUUCAUGGUGGUUGGAAAAAUUGAUGAUGAUGGCAUUUUUGUAAAUAAGAAGAAAUGGUUAGGGUGUAUUUGAUUUUUUGUUAAUUUCGAAAUUAAUAAAAAAAUAAAUAAAAAUGGCAAUUUUGUGAAUAAUUUAAAAACAUAAGGAUAGUAUGGAAAUUUUAUUGAUGAAUAGUAUGGACAAAAAAAAAAGGGUUGGUUUUGGAUUUGACUUGAAAAUAUGGGUUGGUUUUGAAAAACACCCCUUAAAAAGACGAUUUUGACUGUGUUAUUAUUACACUUUGGUAUAAAAUCUUAUUUCUAGAUAUAAAGUCUUAUUAACACUUUUGCUAAUACUCCAUAGUUAGACUUGUGUUAUUAUUGUGUUGAUAAUGCUAAGGUCAAUUUUAAUUUUCGAUGCAAGUAUAGCCCGAAACAGUAAACAAUAACAGACACGCAGAGUAUUGAUUUGACAGAGGCUAUAGUUUUUUUUUUUGCUUUAAAAUUAAAAAUGGAGAUUCUGUGGCUUUAGUUUUAGAUUUUAUAGGUGUAUAAUUAUUUUCAAAUUUUGAAAACACUAAAUAUAAAACUGUAGAAAAAUUGAUUUAUAAACCAAUCUAUUUCCUUUCUAAGAUUUUUGGUUGUAGUUUUAGAUUUUUUUAAUAAAGCAUCAUUGGUAGUAAUAAAAUUGGCGGUAAAAAAAAUUAAAAUCCGUUCAAAGCACUUACCGUUCGUCCCCAAAGUCAUGAAUUCGCUAGCGUCUAUAAUUGAUUGACAAGGACAAGUUUAUAUUAUACGAACAAGACCAAAGCCUGCUUGCUACUUUAGUUCCUGUACGUUCUUAUAGAGAUAAGGAUAACCUCCACCCCUCAAUAUGGAAGUUAUCCUAUCUCCUUAUCUCUAUAGUUCUUGAGUUUCUAUGAGUGCUUGGUAUCCUUCUUCUUUCCAUUUUGAUCUUCUCUUCGGUUUCUUUUUUUUUUUGUUGAAACACGAUGGGGAAUGUACUUUCAAACGGCUUUCAAGCUGCAACAAGUUUUUUUCUUGAAAAGGCCAAGUAUAUACUCGAACUGGAAGAUAAUCUUGAGGCUUUGCAAGAGGUUGCGAGACGCCUCAAAGCAAUGAAGGAUGACUUGCAGAACCAACUCGAGAUGGAAGAACGAAAAGGUUUGCGAGCGCUAGAAGAAAUUAAGGUAUGGCUUUCAGAAGUCAAAGCCAUCCAACCAAAGGUCACUAAACUGCUUGAAGAUAGGACUUCAGAAAUCGAAAGAUUGUCUAUGUGCGGGUACUGCUCCAGCAACUUCUUUUUAACCUAUCGUUAUAGUAAAGAUGUAUUAGAAACGGUGGAGAAAGUACAAAGUAUUUUGUCCUCAAAACCUUCUGGCGAGGUGGCUAGGCUGGGUCCUCCACCUGGUAUAGAGGAGAUAGCCACUCAACGCACAGUCGGUUUAGAGAAGGUGCUUGAAGCUACGUGGAGCCGUCUCAUGGAGAAGGAAGUUGGAAUCUUGGGUCUUUACGGAAUGGGUGGAAUAGGGAAAACCACUCUUCUCAAACAAAUCAAUAACAAGUUACUUGAAAAAAAAGAUGAGUUUGAGGUUGUGAUAUUUGUAGUGGUGUCUCAAAAUCUACAAGUUGAAAAGAUCCAAAAUGAGAUUGGGGAAAGACUAGGCCUCUGUGGCCAAGCGUGGGAGAAGAAAACUCAAAACGAGAAAGCCUCUAGUAUUUGUGGGGCUCUUACAAGGAAAAGAUUCGUUAUGUUAUUAGAUGACAUAUGGAGGAAAGUGGAUUUAGUAGAAGAGAUCAUUGGAAUUCCAUUACCCUCUCCAAAGAAUGGAAGCAAGGUUGUUUUUACCACUCGCUCGAAAAAUGUUUGUGGGCGUAUGGGAUCUCAUGACUUGGAAGUCAAGCAACUGGACCUUUUGAAUGCUUGGGAACUAUUCCGACAGAAAGUUAGAGGUAACACACUAGAAAGUGAUCCAAAGAUCCUCGAGCUAGCAAUACAAAUUUGUAUAAAAUGUAGAGGCUUACCCCUAGCACUCAACGUUAUUGGGGAAACAAUGGCAUGCAAAACGACGGUACACGAGUGGCAGUAUGCGAUUGAUGUUCUAGAUACAAAUGCGGCCAAAUAUCGAGAAGUUGAAGACGAGAUUCUUAAAAUUCUCAAGCUUAGCUAUGAUGCUCUUGAGAACGAGACAGUACAGCAAUGUUUCCAGUAUUGUGCUUUAUUUCCAUACCAUACAAUUUAUAAAGACUUGUUGGUCGAGUACUGGAUAUCCGAAGGGAUCAUAAAUGGAGGUGGAGAUAGAGAAAGAGCUAUCAACCAGUGUUAUAGUAUAAUCGGCACCCUCAUUAGUGUAUGUCUAUUGAUGCCUGCUGACACUUCAGAGUUUGUAACAAUGCAUGAUGUGAUUCGCCAAAUGGGUCUUUGGGUUGCAUCUAAUUUUGGGGAAGAGGAAGAGAAAGUUAUCGUCAAGACAGGUGCUGGACUGCAACAGAUGCCUGAGGUUAGGAACUGGAAAGUGGUGAGAAGGAUGUUACUGGCCAAAAAUAAGAUUCUGAACAUCUCAGGAUCCCCGGUGUGUCCUAACCUUACCACAUUGUUCUUAACAUACAGCUGGCUGGUGAACAUCUCAGGUGAAUUUUUUCUAUCGAUGCCUAAGUUAGUGCUUUUGGAUCUAUCUUGCAAUAUAAACCUAACCAAGUUGCCAGAAGAAGUUACAAGCUUAGUGAGCUUAUCGUCUUUGUCAGUUUAUUUCGUGUCAGUGGUAUACAAGAUUUGUCGUGGUUGUUGUUUGCUCCGAAUCUUACAUUUCUAUUCGUAAGGGGGCCAUCACCGGAAUUGCAAGAAAUUAUAAGCAGAGAAAAGGUGUCUGGUAUACCCUUUCGAAAACUACGUGCGAUGCACUUAAUCUCUUUGAAGGAACUGAAGAGUAUCUACUGGGAACGGUUGGAAUUGCCAUGUCUAAAGAGAAUGUUGAUAAAAAAAUGUCCAAAGCUGAAAAAGCUACCAUUUAGCAAGGAGAGGGCAUACUACUUUGGCCUACAUGCACACAAUCCAGAAUGGUUCGGAGGACUUGAGUGGGAAGAUGAAGCUACUGAAGACUAGGUGGAUCCGAUCCAUCCGUAUCAGGUAAAAAACAAAAAGCAUAUAACAUAUGUUUUUCAGUGUUUAUCUUACAUCAACCCUCACUUCACAUCAUGCUUUGAUAUUCUCAGGUCGUUCUCAAACUCCACAGCUCACAGCUUCUGAGAGAACCCAUUUCUUGAGUUGCAACUGUGUAUCUUCAGCUCCUGUAAUUGUGUCUUGUUUUCUUGUGUCAUGAUUAUGAUUGUUUUGAAUUUGGUGUGAAGAAACUUGUAUCCACGUUGGGUGUUUUUCAAUUUUUACUCUACUUUCUUAUAGAGGCAAGUGUGAGUGAUACCUCAAAAUACUUUGUACCACAAAUAAAUAAAAUUGUUGUGUGAUGUUGUAUGAUUUUGAGUGGUGAGUAUAAAUUUGUUAUAAAGUUAUUUGUACGCUUUGGUAUAACAAUCAAAACAGUGAUCUUAUUUGUACACUUAAAACGAGGAUUUUGAUCGUUUUGAUUACAAUUACACUUGCAACGAAACACAACACAAUGAUUUGGUUUUCAAUAUUACACCCACACAAGCAAAAGUUUCAAAGAGCUUUUCAUUUUCAACUGAGAGAUGACGAACAGGGAUAUCAAUGCACACUAAUACAAUGUCAGCUCCACGUUUGUGUUCUGCUGUUUUCAACUGAAGAAGAGAUUAUAAUAGGUUUGGUUGAUCAUGCAUCAGGCAGCAUGAUGCAGUCAAUGGCUCGCUUGCAUAUUCCUGUCAUCGUUGCUUCUGGUCCAUAUACCUGCAACCAUCAAUCUUUAUGAAGAUCAGUACUCAACCUAAGCCGACAGCAUGCUAAUACACCAUAAGUGUGUUUGGUUACCUCAAGAGGAACACCGAGUUCCUCUCCCAGAGCACGCAUUCUAGCCAAACCAGUCUGGUAAUUAGGACCACCUCUUCUUACGUAAAUGUGCAUUCUUGCUGCUUUCAGUCUUGUUUCCUGCUCAUGCCCCACACAACAAAGAUAAUACGAUACAAAUAGCCAAACACCGAUUCAAUUCUCUUAGGCAAUAUCAUCUUAUCUUCACCAAAAAGCAGUAGCAACUCUUAAAGGUUGUAUACCUUUUCUCUUAGAGCGCGGAUGAUACCGUUGAAAGUAGCUGCCACGUCAGUAAAAUUGGCAAUGCCACCUCCAAUGAGAAGAGCUCGUUUGCGCCCAUCAGGAUCAGCAGUAGCACACUGAGAAAGCCAGUAACAUUUUGGUCCAUGAACCUCUACUUUAGUAUAUAGCUAAUGGCAAAAGCUAAGCUCAUUGGUAUGACUCACAUCAAUAACAACUCUAGCGUAUUGUAACACCUCUUCCUCAUUAGGUGCUCCACUAUACUCUGCGUAGUUCCUCAGCUCUGAUGCGUAACCUAAAUCUCCAACCUUGUUAAAAACAGAUUAGCAUAAUGUGAGAAACUGUUUUGGAGUCAUCAUAAUAAAACUUUAUUUCUUUUAAAAAUUCACUGUAUCAGCAUUUAUGACGCUAGCACCACCACCAGCUACCAUAGUCCAAGUGCGACCUUUAGGGUUCAAAACAGUGAACUUCAAAGAGGCACUUGUCUGCAAUAAGUUAAAGUAACACACACACAUGUACUACCAGUAACAUUACUUUCUUUCAUGAGUCAUAUAAGAAGUGUCUCAAUCAAACCGCUUAUACCUUCUCAUCUAAACCAUGGAUGAAACUCUCCGUUGGACUGAGAACCCUUCCAAAUGGCAGAUGAAACUUAAUAUCUCCCCACCUGAAUAGAUAGAGAUCUUAUCAAUAUAAUGAGCUCCCACAGGAAAAAUUGAUGAAGGAUAAAUGUUUAUGUUUAAUUAGGUACUGAGAAAUGUUUGGCAUACUUGUUGAAAUUUUUUGAAGGCAGCUGUGUCAUCUAACUCUCGAUAUGGCUAGCGUAAAAGGAUUCAUCUCAAUGAAACUGAAAUCCAAAUCUUCAAAGAGAACACAAACAUUUAGUAAGUUAAGGCUCUCAGAGUUCAUGUAACCGAACUCUUGUUAUUUGCAAAGAAGGCUUGAAAAUCAAGAAUUAAUUGCCUCAGCUCUUAUAUAUCCAUACCUUGAAAUACAGCAAAGACGCCCAUUAUGAAGCCGCCUAUUUUACCUCGAACAUGAAAUGUAUUGAAACAUUAGUUAGACAGGGCUUAGCAUAACUCUUUAACAAUGACUGCAGUACUGAGCACCCCUAUAUCGAAGCUUUGAAUAUGCCCAUAAAUGAAAGUAGAACUCCAUACAAAAAAACUAAACUAAAUUAAACUAAACCUUCAGUUGCAUGGUGCCACUGGCGAACUCAGAAGCUUCUAUAAACGCAGCACACAGAAACUUACCUCUAGUUUUAGAUUGUAUUACUGUAUAAUUAUUUCAAAAUUUUAAAAGCAUUAAAUAUAAAAUUGUAAGAAAAUUGAUUUGUAAAGCUAGUAUAUUUCAUUUUAAGAUUUCCGGCCGUAGCUUUAAAUUUUCUUAAUAAAAUAUGAUUAGUAAUAAAUUGGAUGUGGAAAAAAUAAAAGCUAUCCAAAAGACUAGUAGCAUUUAUCAGUCGUCCCCAGAGUCAUGAAUUAGUUGGCGUCUUUAAUUGAUUGACAAGGACAAGUUUAUAUUAUACGAACAAUACCAAAGCCUGCUUGCUACUUUAGUUACUGUACGUUCUUAUAGAGAUAAGGUUAACCUCCACCCCUCAAUAUGGAAGUUAUCAUAUCUCCUUAUCUCUAUAGUUCUUGAGUUUCAACCAGUGCUUGGUAUUCUUCUUCUUCUUUCCAUUUUCAUGUUCUUCUCUUGCGCUUUUAUUUUUUCUAUUGAAACACGAUGGGGAACGUACUUUCAAACGGCUUUCAAGCUGCAACAAGUUUUUUUCUUGAGAAGGCCAAGUAUAUACUCGAACUGGAAGAUAAUCUUGAGGCUUUGCAAGAGGUUGCGAGACGCCUCAAAGCAAUGAAGGAUGACUUGCAGAACCAACUCGAGAUGGAAGAACGAAAAGGUUUGCGAGCGCUAGAAGAAAUUAAGGUAUGGCUUUCAGAAGUCAAAGCCAUCCAACCAAAGGUCACUAAACUGCUUGAAGAUAGGACUUCAGAAAUCGAAAGAUUGUCUAUGUACGGGUACUGCUCCAGCAACUUCCUUUUAACAUAUCAUUAUGGUAAAAAUGUAUUUGAAACGUUGGAGAAAGUACGAAGUAUUUUGUCCUCAAAACCUUGUGGCGAGGUGGUGGCUAGGAGGAUUCUUCCACCUGGUGUAAAUGAUAUAGACACUCAACGCACAGUCGGUUUAGAGAAGACGCUCGAAGAUGCAUGGAGCCUUCUCAUGGAGAAGGAAGUUGGAAUCUUGGGUAUUUACGGUAUGGGUGGAAUAGGGAAGACCACACUUCUCAAACAAAUCAAUGAGAAGUUACUUGAAAAAAAAGAUGAGUUUGGGGUGGUGAUAUUUGUAGUGGUGUCUCAAAACCUACAAGUUGAAAAGAUCCAAAAGGAGAUCGGUAAAAGACUAGGCCUCUGUGACGAGGAGUGGGAGAAAAAAGACCAAAAGGAGAAAGCCACUUGUAUAAAAGAAGUUCUUACAAGUAAAAGAUUCGUUAUGUUGUUAGAUGACAUAUGGGAGAAAGUGAAACUACAAGAGAUUGGGAUUCCAUUUCCCUCAGCAGAUAAUGGAAGCAAGGUUGUGUUUACCACUCGCUCGAAAUACGUUUGUGGGCGUAUGGGAGCUCAUGACUUGGAAGUCAAGCAACUAGACCAGAAGAAUGCUUGGGAACUAUUCCGGCAGAAAAUUAGAGGUACCACACUAGACAGUGAUCCAAAGAUCCUCGAGCUAGCAAAACAAAUAUGUGAGAAAUGUAAAGGCUUACCACUUGCACUCACCGUUAUUGGGGAAACAAUGUCCUACAAAACGUCAGUACGUGAGUGGCAGUGUGCGAUUGAUGAUCUGGAUUCAAAUGCCGACAACUAUCCAGAAGUUAGAGAUGAGAUUCUUAAAAUUCUCAAGCUUAGCUAUGAUGAUCUUAAGGACGAGACAUUACAGCAAUGUUUCCAGUAUUGUGCUUUAUUUCCAGAAGAUAAAGAAAUUUAUAAAGACGAGUUGGUCGAGUACUGGGUAUCCGAAGGGAUCAUAGAUGGAGAUGGAGAGAGAGAAAGAGCUAUGAACCAGAGUUAUAAGAUAAUCGGUAUCCUCGUUAGUGCAUGUCUAUUGAUGCCUGUUGACACUUUAGACUUUGUAAAAAUGCAUGAUGUGAUUCGCCAAAUGGCUCUUUGGGUUGCGUCUAAUUUUGGGAAAGAGGAAGAGAAAUUUAUCGUCAAGACAGGUGCUGGACUGCAUCAGAUGCCUGAGGUUAGGGACUGGAAUGCGGUGAGAAGGAUGUCACUGGCAGAAAAUGAGAUUCAGAACAUCGCCGGGGAUGUAUCCCCGGUGUGUCCUAACCUGACCACAUUGUUGUUAAAAGACAACAAGCUGGUGAACAUCUCAGGUGAUUUUUUUCUAUCGAUGCCUAAGUUAGUGGUUUUGGAUCUAUCUAACAACAAAAAUCUAACCAAGCUGCCAGAAGAGGUUUCAAAGUUAGUGAGCUUGCGAUUUCUUGACUUAUCACAUACAAGUCUAGAGAACUUGCCUGUAGGAUUGGGAAAGUUGAUUCAGUUGAGAUAUUUUUAUUUGACAGGCGUACGAACUCUUGAAAGCAUCAGUGUGAUAUCAAGUUUGGUAAAUAUAGAAAUGCUAUUCUUACAUGAAGGUACUUUUUUAAGUCUGGAGUUGAUAGAGGAUAUAAAGUUACUGAAGAAUUUGAAAGGCUUGGGAGUAAGUAUCAAUGAUGUGGUUGUUUUAGAACGUCUUUUAAGUAUCCCCAAAUUGGCUAGAUGUAUCGAUGCUAUAUCUCUGGAUGGAGUUGUAGCAAAAGGCGGUCCGUUGCAGUUUGAAACGGCUAUGACUGGCCUUCGCUAUAUCAUGAUAGAAAGGUGUAUCAUCUCUGAUAUAAUGGAUCAUACGAGAUAUGGAUGCACAAGUACAAGUGCCAUAUGCUUCCAAAACCUCGGCUAUGUCAACAUAUCUGUCGUCAGUGGUAUACAGGAUUUGUCGUGGUUAAUCUUUGCUCCGAAUCUUGCGAUUGUAUUCCUAGAGGGGCCAUCACCGGAGUUGCAAGAAAUUAUAAGCAGAGAAAAGGUCUGUGGUAUACUAAACAAGGGGUCGAGUAUUGUACCGUUUAGAAAACUACAUACGAUUUACUUAGAAGAUUUGGAGGAACUGAAGAGUAUCUACUGGGAACGGUUGGAAUGGCCAAGUCUAAAGAGAAUGGAAAUAAAAUACUGUCCAAAGCUGAAAAAGCUUCCAUUAAGCAAGGAGAGGGCAUACUACUUUGACCUACAUGAAUACAAUGAAGAAUGGUUUGAAACACUUGAGUGGGAAGAUGAAGCUACUGAAGAAUAGGUGGAUCAAUCCGUAGUCAGUGUUUAUCGUACAUCCCUCACUUCACAUCAUGCUUUGAUAUUCUCAGGUUCGCUCUCCAAAUGGACAUACAACUACACAUCUCAAAGCUUCUGAGACAACCCAUUUGUUGAGUUGCAACGUUUGUCUUCAGCUCUCCUGUAAUUGUAUCGUAUUAUCUUUUCUCAUGUUAUGAUUUUUUUGAAAUUUGGUGUGAAGAAACUUGUGUGCGCCUUGUGUGUUUUUCUUUUCUUCUUUCUGAGGCUUUAUAGACACAAGUGUGAGUGAUACCUCAAAACACUUUGUACCAAAAUUAAAUAAAAUUGUUGUGUGAUGCUGUAUGAUUUUGCGUGGUGAGUAAAAAUUUGGUAUAAAGUUAUUUGUACACUUUGGUAUACAAAUCAAAGCAGUGAUAUAUUAUUUGUACAUUUCAGAAAAGGAUUUCGACUGUUUGAUUACAAAUUUACACAGGCAACACACAAUGAUCUGGUUUUCAAAUUCAUACAUUCACAAAAUAAAAAGUUUCAAAGAGCGUUUCAUUUUCAUAUGCAGAAAGAGAUACGAAGAACAGGGAUCAACACACACACACACUUCCAAAUGUCCAGCUCCGAGUUCGUGGUCUGCUGUUUUCAACUGGAGAAGAUAUCUUAGGUUUGGUUGAUCAUGCAUCAGGCAACAUGAUGCAGUCAAUGGCUCGCUUGCAUAUUCCUGUCAUCGUUGCUUCUGGUCCAUAUACCUACAAUCACCAAUCCUUAUGAAGAUCAGUAUUCUACCUAAACCGACAGUAUGCUAAUACACCAUGAGUGUGUUUGGUUACCUCUAGAGGAACACCGAGUUCAUCACCCAGAGCACGCAUUCUAGCCAGACCAGUCUGGUAAUUUGGACCACCUCUUCUUACGUAUAUGUGCAUUCUUGAUGCUUUUAGUCUUGUUUCCUGCUCAUGCCCCACACAACAAAGAUACAAUACAAAUAGCCAACACCGAUUCAGUUCUCUUAGGCAAUCUCAUCUCAUCUUCACCAAAAUGCAGUAGCAGCUGUUAAAGGUUGUAUACCUUUUCUCUUAGAGCGCGGAUGAUACCGUUGAAAGUAGCUGCCACGUCGGUGAAAUUAGCAAUGCCACCUCCAAUGAGAAGAGCUCUUUUGCGCCCAUCAGGAUCAGCAGUAGCACACUGAGAAAGCCAGUAACAUUUUGGUCCAUGAAGCUCAAGAAUUAUAUAUAUAGCUAAUGGCAAAAGCUAAGCUCAUUGGUAUGACUCACAUCAAUGACAACUCUAGCGUAUUGUAACACCUCUUCCUCAUUAGGUGCUCCACUAUACUCUGCGUAGUUCCCCAGCUCUGAUGCGUAACCUAAAUCUCCAACCUUGUUAAAAAAGCAGAUAAGCAGAGUGUGAGAAGUUGUUUAGAGUCUUCAAAAUAAUAACACAUUCUUUCUUUUAAAAAAUUUCACCGUAUCAGCAUAUAUGACGCUAGCACCGCCUCCAGCUACCAUAGUCCAAAUGCGACCUUUAGGAUUCAAAACAGUGAACUUCAAAGACGCACUUGUCUGCAUUAAGUUAAAGUAACACACACACACAUGUACUAUCAGUAACAUUACUUUCUUUCAUGAGUCAUAUAAGAAGUGUCUCAACUCUCAAGCCAACGGCUUAUACCUUCUCAUCUAAACCAUGGAUGAAGCUCUCAGUAGGACUCAGGACCCUUCCAAAUGGCAGAGGGAACUCAAUGUCUCCCCACCUGAAUAGAUAAAGAUCUUAUCAAUCCAAUGAGCUCCCACAGAAAAAAAAAUGAGAGAGAAAUGUUAGACAUACUUGUUGAAAUUUUUGAAGGCAGCUGUGUCAUCUAACUCUCCCCUCAUGUCCAAAGGAUAUGGCUCUCCAUCGACUAGCGUAAACGGAUUCAUCUCCAUGAAACUGAAAUCCAAAUCUUCAAAGAGAACACAAAUAGAUAAUAAGCUAAGCCCUAUAGAGUUCCUGUAACAGAACUCUUUGUAUUUGCACAAGAGUUUUCUUUGCACAAAUGCUUGAAAAUCAAGAAGUGGCCUAAACAUACCUUGAAAUACAGCAAACACGCCCAUUAUGAAGCUGCCUAUUUUACCUCUAACCUGAAAUGUAUAUAAACAUUACUUAAGGAAGGCUUAGCAUAACUCUUUUAAAAGCAUACAUCUAGGCUUUUCUAAACCAAACUAAAACUUUAGUUGCAUGGUGCCACAGGCUUACCCAGAAGCUUCUAUAAACUUAGCAAACAGAAACUUACCUCAAGAGGAAGUGUUGCUAUCAAAGGAGCACAAACUUCAAGCGUCAUUGACUUUUCCGCAGGAAGGAACACAGUCUUCACCUGUUGAUACCAUAAAACCAAGUUCUCUAUCUGAAUUUUUUUGCUAUAGUUAUUGGGAGAAAACAAAUCAAAAAUUUAGUAGUUACCUUGUCCCAGUUCUCUUCAAUUUCAAUACCGCCACAUUCAGAGAAGCUUAUAGUGCAGCCAAGCCUAUCAGACACUAUAGAAAGAUAGUACUCUUGAUCAUGAGGCACAAAGGGCUCCACAAUGAAUGUAGUGAUAGGAGCUUUACAUCCACCCAUCUCAACCUGCACACACACAGAAUAAAAAAAAUAGCAAAAACAAACAUUAAACAAUAUAGCAAGAUUCAACCCUUUGUUCUAUCACUUAUCUUCAGAGAUCAUUCACCUCAGAGCCGAGACGGGCUUUGACAAACUCUGCAACUUCAGCAAGAUCCAGCUUGAGAGCUACCAACCCGCUUUUCCCGCGUUUUCCAAACAGCAUAUCAGGCUUCACAACUAGCUUCGUGGAAGAUAGCCAUGGCUCCUGGUUGGUCAACUCAGUGAAAUCCGUAGCUUCUGUCACCUGCAAGUAAUAGAGAAAAAAAAAAAACAGUUUCAACUUCAAUGUUUCUUCGUUGGUUCCAAAGAUAGUAAUCAUCAAAUAUUAGAUUCGAUGAAAACAAAGCUAUAGAAUAUUCGUGAGGGUGACAGACCUGAGCAGAGCGGAUUUGGAGGUUGAUGUUAGCGAGACGUUUCAAGUGUUCCUUGAGAAGUCUCUUGGAGUCGUACUCUCUGAUCUUCUUCCUCGCCAUUUACAAGCUCAAAAAACUAAAGAAAGAGAGAAACUCAGAAUCUGAAACGGAGACAGUAAGUUUUAAAAGACAGUGAUCGUCUGAAUCACACAAGUGUUAGGUGACGAGUUUAGAGAAGAUAAGAUCGAAGAAGUUUGAGUAACAGGUGAUCUCACCAACAGGCAACAACAAGACAGAGAGAGAGAGAGAGAGAAAAGCAGACGCCGAGUGGGAACCAGAAGAGACGUUGACGUUUUUAGUCCUAAAGUCAACCUACCCACCCCCGCCUAAACCACUAUUAUAUUCCUUUUUUCUCAAUAACCAACCGGUUUAGUCGAACCAAAAAUAACCAUUUUGGUUUCCGUAAAUAGUGAAACUAAUCAGCAGCUGGCAGAACUAGAGAAGUUAAUCUUGUUCUGUCUUAACUUUACACAGUAUGACAGUAACAUGUUAAGCUUAGCUUAGUCAGUAGGGAUUCAGAGCUACUAUGUCUCUCACCAGUUGCUUGCUUCCCUUCUCUCAAUCAGCGACGGCUCCUUUGACCUCCACCUGUUCUUGCCAUCUCCCCCUCUCUUUUUCUAACUUUCCGGUAAGCACAUGUGCUCACCGUACCUCCUUCAGCUCUGUUUGCAUGUUUGCGAUCUAUGAGAUGAUCAGUAGAUAAGUAGUUCACUUGGUUUAAGGCUUUAAGCUAAGUUUUGUGACAUCUCACCAGAGAUACUGAGAUCUUUGCGUCUGAAUCUAAGCUUAGUGUUUUGAGGACUUGAUACGAACAGGAACUUGAUCUUUGCUCCAGUUGUUGAAAGUUGAAUUUUUUUUUUUUUAAUGUGAGUAGGUUUCGUCAAGAGACUACUAUAGUUCCUUCAGAAGUGAAAGCCUUGUGCUCAAUGGAGGAGGCUCAGAUCUCUGCAGGAGAUUCUGUGGGUUCAAGCUAUGGAUACUUAAAAGCCUGAACCUUAAACAAGGCAGCCACAGAAAACAUCAGCCUCUGAAAGAGCUUAAAAUAAACUCGGAGCACACUUUCCUUAGCGAUGCAGGUUUUCUUGAAGAAACUGGAGCUUCAGGUUUACGACCAGAAGAGACUAUUUUAGGAACCCAUUUGGGUGCUGGUUCUCACAGAGCUGGAGAUACACCAUACGUGUCAAAACAGUUCUUGGACGGUCUUUUAGAUGUGCCAAGAGGAGCCUCACUUUGCAUAGCUGUUGUAGGAGCUACCGGUGAGCUAGCAAGAGGGAAGAUUUUCCCUGCUUUGUUUGCCUUGUACUAUAGCGGCUACCUUCCUGAGGUAUACUCUCUAUGCUCAUGAACAAAAUAAUCAUUAUAGUUGUCUUAUUGAUUGGUCUUUACUGUCACAGGAUGUUGGUAUAUUCGGGUAUUCAAGAAAGAAUCUGACAGAUGAAGACCUCAGAUCCAUCAUCGCUUCAACUCUGACUUGCCGUGUUGAUCAUCAGUAUAUAUAUAUUUCUUGUUCCUGACAUAAAAUUGGUAUAUUUUAUUCAUUGAAUGAUGCUACACGUUCAGGGAAAACUGUGGGGACAAGAUGGAUGCAUUUCUCAGUAGAACAUACUAUAUCAACGGAGGUUAUGAUAACAGGGAUGGGAUGACUCGACUUGACCAGAGAAUGAAACAGAUUGAGGUUAGUCUUUGUGUGUUUACAAACAUUUGGACAGACAAAGCAAAAGACAGUUUAAUAAUACAUUACCAGCUUCAAAUUCUUUAGGGAGUAUCAAAAGCGAAUAGGAUGUUUUAUCUCUCGGUGCCUCAAGAAGCUCUUGUGGAUGUGGCGUGCAGCAUUGGAGAUAAAGCUCAAGCGUCACAAGGCUGGACUCGUAUAAUAGUUGAGAAACCUUUUGGUUUUAACUCGUACUCGUCUCAUCAGUUGACACAGUCACUUCUAUCUAAGUUUGAAGAGAGGCAGAUCUACAGGUCCUUCUUCCAAAUCUAAAAUUCUUUCUGAAUGUACAGUUCAUCUUUAUUUACGGUUUCUGUUUAUUCCCAUUUCAGGAUAGAUCACAUGUUAGGAAGAAAUCUCAUUGAAAAUCUGACUGUGCUGAGGUUUUCAAAUCUGGUUUUUGAACCAUUAUGGAACAGAACAUAUAUACGCAAUGUGCAGGUAGUAUCAUUGUUUUAUUUUGUGUGUAGUGUCUGAAAGAUUCUCUCUUUCACAUUCUGAGUUGUUCACUCUGUCUACAAAUGAUACUUUCAGGUUAUUGUAUCAGAAUCAGUUGCGCAAACAGCAAAGUAAGGCAUAGUAGUUCCAUUUCUAGCAUAUCUUUGCAUGUUUAGAAAAUGAAAUGGCCUCAGUUAUGUUAAUUUCUACUGCUUUUUUAAAAAGGUAUUCUGAUGGGUAUGGCAUAAUACGGGACAUCUUUCACAGCCACAUACUUCAGACAAUCGCAUUACUUACCAUGGAACCUCCAAUAAGUCUUGAUGGUGAAGAUAUCCGCAAUGAGAAGGUUAACCUUCAUAAACAAAGAACAUUAUAGUCUUAUGAUAUAUAGACAAGUAGUAGUGUAUUCUUUUUCUGUCAAAUGACCUGGUGACAACAAACCUUCUUCUUCAGGUGAAGGUUUUGAGAUCGACUCGCAGAUUAGAUCCUGCUGAUGCCAUCCUUGGGCAGUAUAAAUACACUUCCGGAGAUAAAAAUGAAGCUAUCUUGAACAGUGUAGGCCCUACAUACUGUGCUGCAGCCUUGUAUAUUGAUAAUGCUCGUUGGGAUGGUGUACCGUUCCUAGUAAGAGUUGGCACUGGCCUCAUUAAACACAGGUAAGAGUUAAUAACUCCUACUCAUGGUAACAUCAUACCGGUAUGUAUAUCAGUUGACAUAGCAAAUGAUUUGGUGUGCUUUUAAUGUUUAAAAAGAGUGGAGAUCCGUGUGCAAUUCCGACAUGUUCCAGGAAACAUAUACCGAGACAACAUUGGAAUCAACAUAGAUUUGGGGACAAAUGAGCUUAUCCUACGUGACGAACCUGAUGAAGCCAUCCUGGUGAAAAUCAACAAUAAGGUUCCUGGUUUAGGUCUUCAGCUUGACGCUUCUGAACUUAACCUGCUCUAUAAAGACAGGCAAGUUUUUGGUUUUCUCAUCAUCUGUGUUCCUUCACGUUUUGAAUCAUUGCGUUCUUGUUGGUUUCUAAACUGUAGGUAUAGCACGGAAGUACCAGAUUCAUAUGAGCACUUAAUUCAUGAUGUGAUUGAUGGAGACAACCAUCUGUUCAUGAGAAGCGAUGAGGUUGCAGAAGCAUGGGACAUUCUGAGUCCUGUCCUGGAAGAGAUAGACAAGCACCACACAGCUCCGGAGUUGUAUGAAUUUGGUGGACGAGGACCUGUUGGAGCGUACUAUCUCUGGGCCAAACACGGCGCCCCAUGGGCAGAUGAAUGAAGGAGAUACAUAGAUGGAACAACCAACAAAGCUUUACAAUCUGUGAAAUAUAGACUUUUAUUGUGAAGUGGUUAGUCUAGCUUGAAGCUACUGUAACACAUGUAUGACAUGUUGCUGUAUGAAUGUCUAUCAUGGUGGGGUCCUCAUGAUAGUGUUGAAAACUUGUCUAAAGCCACCCAUGGUGAAAAGUAUGAGAGAGUUUUAGAUAAGGUUGUGUUGUGGAAAGAGCGAGGGUUCACAGAUUCCCUUCGUUUCAGCCAGAGGAUUUCAUUUUCAAGAAUGAAUCAGAGGCCAACAACAAUGAGAACGCAGCAGGUAAUGCAAGCUCUUCAGCAUCCAACAAGCAGUGGCGGAGCCAGAAAAUUUUUGUACCGGGGUCGAAAAAAAAUCAAAAAUAUAAUUUAUAUACUAUAAAAAACUACAUAUACUCUAGGCACACUCCAUUUUCUGUUGAAUGUAAAAGUUUAUUCAAACAAAAAAACGUUUGUACAAUAACCGCUUCUUUGUUUAGAGUGUUCUGUAUUUUUAAAGUUUUCAAGAAAAGAAUAGCAAAAAUGAAUAAAAACAAAGCUCUAUCUCUAUCUCUAAAAUCUUCUCAUAUCGAACCACAUGAUUAUUGCAGUUCUACUCUACGCACACUUAUAGCUUAAAACUUUUUUAUAACAGUUUUAUUGGCUAAAAAUAUAGAAAACCAACCUAAAAUUUAACUAAAAAAUAAUUAUAGAGCACAAGUUAAGAGUCCGCCGUCAUCUCCUGUUCCCGAAGAAGAGGAACAUAUUUUCUUUUCUUUUUAUGUUUACUUGUUUUGUAAUAUUUCUAUAUUGCAAAUUAGUUGGACCUAAUACAAUUUAGGAGUAAACUAACAUAUUACUAAAGAUUAAAAUAACAAAACAUAUUUAGGGAUUUUAUAUUUUUGGAUAAUUAUCAAAAAAAUGAAGUUAAAACUAAUAUAACUCCAAAGUUUCAAUGAUAUAAAAUAUAAUUAUUUUAGUUGUAUAAUUAAAUUUUAUCUUCAGUGUUUAGUAAUUAUUUUUGUGGGGUCAAAAUUAUUUUUUUAGUGGGGUCAACACAAAUUUUGCUUAAACCAAAACAAUAUUUUUUUUUAAAGUAAUGGGGUCAGCUGACCCCCCUCCUCAUAUGCUGCCUCCGCCCCUGCCAACAAGUAUGGCUCUAAGGAAGAAAAAGAGAUAGCUGAGACUAACGUUUGUUUAGACUUGAAUCUUUCUCUGUCGUUGACAAGCGGAAAAAAAUGCUCCUCAAUACGUUAGUAAGUAGUAGCUAUGUUUGUAAGCGUCCUGCACCCCCAAGCAUAUCAAUCACUCUAGAUUAACAGAUCUUAAGCCUUUCCUAUACCAUCCCCUGGUGUAGCUACAUGCUGUGAGAGUUUCAACGAGGGCCGGGUGGUUUCAACCAGACAUGAAUAUGAUUUGAAGGAUAGCUGUCAAAGAUACUGCUCGAGUUUUUGUAAUAUUGCAGAACAAAGCAAUACUACGAAACAAAAUUUGAUGAACACGGGAAGAUCAUACACGCAUAAGAUAAAAUAUAGUAGCUCGAAUUUUUUUAAGAGUAAUCGAGAGAAACUAUGCGUUUAUUUUAGGGGUGUAACGUUAUUAGUUCUAAUUGUUUUUUAAAAAAAAUCUCUUUUUUUUUGUUGAAGCUAGGGAUCGAUGUUAAGUCCCGUAAAACCGAACUAACUAAAACUGAACCAAGCCGGAAUAGAAAAAAUGGUUUGGAUUUGGUAAUAUCAGAUAAAACGAAUAGAGGUUAUUUUCAAAAAAUCACAGUAUAUGGAUAUGGUUCGAUCUAUAAACCGGUACUAUAAACUGAAGAAACCGGUUAAUUAAAAUGCAUUAGUAUACUUAUAUGUAAAUUUUAUAAUAAAAUGAAUAGUAUAUACAUAAUUUAUUAAUUUAUAUGAUAAUCAUAUUUAAGAAACUGGUGUUAGUAAAAAAAUUAUUCUAAGUUAAAAAAUUAUUUCGUUUUUCUCAUUUUCACCAAAUUAAAUAAAAUAAUUUUUAUUCUUAUUGGUAAAUAACUUUUGGUGUAGAAAAAAGUUUUUUCACCUCUUUGCCGGGAACUCAAGCCUUAUAAAUAGUCAUUUCCAGCAUGAAUCAAACUCUGAUGGCGGAAGUUACAGCCGCAACCCAUUUACCAUUAGAGCUGACUCGCUAUUUAUACUACAAUAUAGUCAUUUUAUAAUAUCAUGAUAUUAUUAUUUUUUAUUUUUAUUUUUGAUAGUUAAAUAAAACAGAAAAUAUUAUAUUUAAAAAUUAGAGUACUAAAUAUAUAUUAUGUUUUAAUAAAUCUGACUUCUAAUUAUAUAAGCUAAAAUUUGCUAUAAACGGUAAAUAUAGUUAUAGUUUUUGGUAUAAAAUAAAUAAACAGAAAGUUGAUAGUAUAUAAGCCGAAUCAAGCUAAAGUAAAUAUUAUAUUAAUAUGCUAGUUAAAUUUUAUAAACAGAAAUACCAGAAAAAAAACUAAGAAACUGACCGAAACCGAGCAAAAAUCCGGAUUUAACAACCUUAGAGCACCAUUAAUCAAGGGUGCUUGUAGGGUGCUUAGAUUUUUUUUAUUUAAAAAAAAGGAAAGAUAAGAAGAAGAAGAAAGAGGAGUGCUUAAUUAGGCAUCACAAGCAUCUGUUGCUUGUACUAUUCGCGGGCUCUACUGAUACAUGUCGACCCUUGAUUGGUUUGUUUUUACUUUUUUCUAAUAAAAAAAAAACCAAAAAAAAUAAAAUAAAUUAAGCACCCCAAAUAGGAUGCUAGGGUUAAUGGUGCUCUUACAUUCUACUUAGUGUAAAACAUGUGAUGCAGUAUAGUUGUAGAAUGGCACAUGUGUUUUGGAGUUGUCGAAAACAGACAACCAACCAUUUAUAAAGUCUUCUUUUUUCUAAUGAAAUUUGGUUGGAGCACACAUCGCAUCAUUGUCUAAUCUUCUUUAGAUGCAAUCGUGUAAAAUGUGUUACAUAAAAGAUCCUACAUCGAAAGUUUUUGUAAGACAUGAAUAAUAUAUACUCCUGCUGUUUCAUAAAGAAUGUCACUUUAACCCUUUUAUUUUGUUUCAAAAUAAGCAUUAUUCUAUAUUUUCAAUGCAAUUUUUCUUAUUAUUUUUUUUUAAAAAAAUAAUCAAUAGAUAUUUAGUUAAAUCAUUUUUAUUUAAUUAAUUGUAUAAUAAAUAACGGUAUAUUAAUAUGUUUUCUCAUUUUCUCAAUAUGUAUGUGUCUAAAUAACACUUUUUAUGAAACGGAGAGGAUAAGUGUUUUGGAUCAAUUUACUUAUUGCCAUCUUCUUAUUAAAAUAGAAACAUUAUGAUUUUUUGGUGGAUUUUUAAGAAGAAUUUUCUAUUAGAUAUACUAUAUUCUAUAAUCCUAUAAAUUAUUAAAUUAUUUAUGAUAGCAAUUUAUCAGGUAUAUCACGAUUUUAGAAAGAACGAGGUGUUUUGUCUGUACAUACGGAUAUAAUCUUCUUACGAAUAUUUAUUAGUUUAUAUUUUGUUAAUUAAAAUAAGUUAUUAUUUCUAUUUUUGUAAGGAAAAUUAAAUCAAACAUCAAGUUACUUUUAUAAGACAAAGUUUUUCAUUAAAAUAUAUAGUACAUCAAGUUACUUUUAUAUGGCAAAUAUAUAUAUUUAAACAAGAGAAUGCAUUUACUUGAAAGGUAUAUUCAGUUACAUAAUCUUAAUUAUAAAUAUUCUAUAUUUUUGCAAACAUAUUUAUAUAAAUUUUAGCAUCUAAAUAUAUAUACCAAAUAUUUUUGGUUUAUCCCAUAUUUAAUUUCAAAAUCUUGGCUGAAACUGAGCUAUUUACACUAUAAAUACAUGAACAUAUUUGCACUUAUCUUACGUGGUCUUAAAAUUCCAACUCAAAACCCUCGAAUUCUUCUCAUAUUCUAUCAUCUGAUAAAAUUUCGUCUAUCAAAAUCAUAAAAAGUUGUGAAACCCAGGUCCGUUUCUGUGUAUAUGCUAUAUGAACGUUUAAUAGACUAACGUGUUAUAUGAAAUUACAUGUAUGAGAAAAAAAAAUAGUGUUGUACAAGACACCUUUUGGUAAACAUCAUUUAGUAAACAUCAUUUUGCUUGUUGGUGAUACACUUCAUUUUUUUACUUAUGAAAACCCAUUUACCUUUUUAGAUAUAAUUCAAAAUAUUAAUUAAAAAUACUUCAAAGCUAUUAAAAAAAUACAGUAUAACAAUAAACUUAGAGAAAAUCAUAAUAAACAACAAGAAAAUACUAUUCAUACUCUCAAAAUAUGUAGCAUUAACUUAUUUAAUUUUAUAUAAAUUUAUAUCACAAAUAUAUAUAUGAUGAAGUAAUAUGCACAUUUAAUCUAGUUGAUUAUAAAUUGGAACCCAGUAAACUUAACAUUAUAUAAAAGUGGAUUCACAUCAAUAUUGAUCUUAAAAGUGCAUCGAUCAUCCCACUAAUUGAUAGCUCAUGGAAAGCUCAAUUCCAUCAAAAUAACUACUAUUAGUAUAAAUACAUAAGAGAUUUGGGCUAAUAAAUUUACUGUCAGUUGGUUUAAAGUAAGAAUACCAGAAGACUUAAUAAAAAAUGAGACUCUAUGGGUAACGCAUCGACCCACCAACAUUCAUGACCCCAUGUCCACUCUCAACCCGUGAACCUCACCUUCAUUCGGCGUCCAGUGCCUUGUCGGAAAGGCUCGUUUGACUUGAUAUACUUACCCGAAAAACACGCAGCUUUCUGAUAGAUCACCUAUCAUUUGAUUGAUUCAACUUAAGCACGUUUAACUCUGGAGUUUUCUCCGGAUGGUUAACCGAAAAAGUAAGUAAACUAUGUGUCAUAGAUAAUCCAAAUCAACUCUUAUAAGCCCUUUCCACCUUACUACCACAAAUCCAGGACACUACACUACACAUCCUCUUCGUGUCUCCUUACAAUUCCUCUUGUUUUCAUGUCACCGGUGAUAAAAACACCAAACAUUAUCUUAAAAUACAAGCAACACUAAAUCUGGAGUUCUUGAAAGAUAGAUCAAUGGAGAACGGAACUUCCUCUGCAACCAAUCAGACAAUUCCCCUUCUCACACCAUUCUCAAUGAGAAACUUCAAUCUUUCUCACAGGUUCUCUUAAUCCAAUCCACACACAAACUGGAUCUGAGUUUAUCAGAUUAACUUAUUUUUUUCUGACUGAAUGAAAUCUCUGAAUCUAUAUUCCAGAAUAGUUAUGCCAGGGAUGGCGAGAAUGAGAUCAUACGGCAACGUUCCACAACCUCACGCCGCCAUGUAUUACUCUCAGAGAGCAACGCCGGGAGGUCUUCUCAUCACCGAAGCCACCGGAGUUUCAGAAACCGCCAUGGCGUAAGGUCCUUUCUUCAAACUAUUCACCAGAUAAGUUAACUUUUUUUCCUGUGUUAUGAACUUAUGAGUUAUGCUUGACUUUUUGUGAUAGGUAUCAUGACAUGCCAGGGAUAUGGAAGAAAGAACAAAUCGAAGCAUGGAAGCCUAUCAUUGACGCCGUUCAUUCUAACGGCGCCGUCUUCUUCUGUCAGCUCUGGCACGCCGGUCGCGUUUCUCAUCGAGGUUAAUAUAAGAAAAACAAACUCUGUUCUGUUUUCUAGGGUUUGAAAUUGUUUUCUUGUUACGUGUGGACUAAGGAACUGAUAAAUGUACUAGAUCUUAGCUAAAUGGUGAUGCAAGAAAAAAGAAAAAGAAAACAAUUUCUGUUAAGUUUCUUUUAGGGUUCGUCAAAUCUUGUUACGUGUGUGCUAAGCAACUGAUAUUUGUACUAGAUUCUCAAACCAAAUGGCGAUGCAAGAAAGAAAAACAAACUCUGUUAGGUAUCUUUUAGGGUUUGAAAUUGUGAAAUUUUGUUACGUGUGUGCUAAGCAACUGAUAUCUGUACUAGAUUCUCAGCCAAAAUGAUGAUGCAAGAAAGAAAAACAAACUCUGUUAGGUAUCUUUUAGGGUUUGAAAUUGUGAAAUCUUGUUACGUGUGUGCUAAGCAACUGAUAUUUGUACUAGAUUCUCAGCCAAAUGGUGAAGCUCCGAUCUCUUCUACGGAUAAGCCUCUCGCCGAGACUUCAUCCAACGAGUUCACAACAUCCGACGAGUUCACACCUCCGAGGCGGCUAAGGACCGACGAGAUCCCAAACAUUGUAAAUGAUUUUCGUCUCGCUGCAAGAAACGCUAUAGAAGCUGGUUUUGAUGGAGUGGAGAUCCAUGGCGCACACGGAUACUUGAUCGACCAGUUUAUGAAGGACACUGUCAACGACCGCACCGACUUUUAUGGCGGAUCUCUCGAGAACCGAUGUAGAUUCGCGCUGGAAGUAGUCGAAGCUGUGACGAACGAGAUCGGAUCUGACCGCGUUGGAGUCAGACUCUCUCCGUUCGCGAACUAUAUGCAGUCGGGAGAUACAGAGCCUCAAAAGCUAGGUGUUUACAUGGCAAAGUCUCUGAAUAGAUUCAGAACACUCUAUUGCCACAUGGUUGAGCCGAGGAUGAAAACAGCCACUGAGGCUUUCGAAUGCACUGAGUCGCUUACGCCGAUGAGGAAGGCGUUUGAAGGAGCGUUCAUCGUCGCCGGAGGUUAUACAAGAGAAGACGGGAACAAGGCGGUGGCGGAGGGAAGAACCGACCUGGUGGCGUAUGGGAGACUGUUCUUGGCGAAUCCAGAUUUGCCAAGAAGAUUUAAACUCGACGCGCCGCUGAAUAAGUACGACAGAACAAGUUUUUAUACUUCUGAUCCUGUCGUGGGUUAUACUGAUUACCCUUUUCUCGAGACAGAACCUUAAGGUUUUGUCUUUUUUUUUUUUACUUUCCAUUUUUUCAGCUGCUGUAAUAAUCUUACAAGUUGUUAAAAGCAUACAAUUUGUUUACAUUAUAGCCAUAGCAAGUUGUUCACAUUACAUUUAGAGGUUCUGGUUCAAUUUAUUGAUAAGCGUGCACAUUAACUGAGCUUCAUUAUAUGGCUAAAAAUAUGAUAACUCGAAAUAAAUUUUCAAUUGACCAAAAGUUGAGAUGAUGUUGAAACCCUAGGAAUAUCUUUCAACUUUCCGAUGAUAGCAUCUUGCUCUAGUUCAGGAUCUAACAUGGGUUUGAGGGAGAUUGUCGCAGUCUUUAAACACUUAGAAUUGGCUAGGAUGUAUGUCAAGAAUUCUUCCUCUUCUUCUCUGUGUCCAUAGUAUCUCCAUUCAAAUAUUUUUAGAUGUGACGACAAGCAUCCAGGAAUAGAACUUGGUUGUUUCCAUGAAAGUGGGAUAUCCUCGAGGUCAUAGAUAAAUUCCUAAUGAGAAGCAACGGUGACAUCCAGGAAUAGUGACUAUAUAUUAUAAAAAGUUACUAGUAUUAUAACGUCCAUCAAAGCUUGAAGAAAAGGAGAGUACGUACAUAAUUUACCAAAAGUUCUUCAAGUUUUGGAGUAUUUGCUAGUAGAAGUAAGAGUGGUUCCACCCAGUCGGAUCUACUUGGAUCUACAGAUAACUUUAUAAGUCGAGAAAAUCUUAGGGUGCGACAACGCACAAGCUGCAACAAAAGAAACAACAACUUGGGUAGAUGCAACAAAGUAAUCACAACAAACAGUCAACACAUAGAUAAAGAUGAGAGCUACCAUUUCAUCGGUAAAAGUCAAGUCAAGAGACAAGAUCGACGAAGAAGCUGUUAUGAACUUGUCAAAAUUAGAUAAAGAGUUGACACUAAUAUAUGCCUCCUCGAGACAAGGCAUAUUCCCAAUCGACCAAGAGUCUCUUGAAUCAUCAUCGACCUUAAACUUUAUUAAUGCCGGAGUAUCUAUAACCAAACAACUAUCACUAUCCACUACGUCAGUGUCAUCUUGCAGACAAGCUGUAUUAUUAUAAAAUAACAUCCAUAAAGAAGACACUUUCACAAUAAAGUUUGUCAGAUUGUCACUCUUCUUUCUUUUCACUAUCAAUAUUCCAAGGACAGGGCAGCUAGAUAAGAACCUAGCGAGAGAAGCCUCGUCUUUAUAUGCCACACAGAAAAGUUGAAGUAGUUCGAGUGACGGGAGGCAGGAAGGGGAAGAAGGGAAAUCAACAAGAACCUUGUUAGAUAGACUCAGUUCUUUGAGUGUUUCGCAGGUGUAAAGGCUCCUAGGCAAUGUGGUUGGACCUGCUGACCAGCGAAGCUUGAAUUUUACCACGACGACGCCGCGAUCAACAGCCUUUUCAACCCAAUUUCCGACAUUAGCAUCACUAGGACAUCGUCGACCAAGACUAAUAAGCAAUUUUUCUAAGACAGGUGCUUUGUGAAGUUUCAGUGACUUGUCCAAAAACCACCAAAUGCUCUUCUUUCUCUCAAGAUCACCAUCACCAUCAACAUCAUCAUCAUUAUCACCAUCAUCACCAUCACCAUCACCAUCACCAUCCCCAUCACCAUCACCAUCACCAUCAUCAUCAUCACCACCACCACAAUCAUGAUCAUCUUUGAUAUCAUUGGUUUCAUUGUAAUCAAGUCUAGGCAACAUCAUCCAUAUACAGCGCCAUCUUUUGGACAAAAUCAUGGUGGCUACUGCAUCUUUAAUCGGGACAAGCAACAAAAUUGUCACAAGCAACUCUACGGGCAAAGCACUGAUCCUGUCUUCACAAUCUAUCUCUUCAAUUUUGGUUUCUAACAUCUUCACGAGGAAACCCCAAGGAACAAGGAUUCGACGUAAGAAGCAACACAACGAAAUUGUUAUGACCAAAAUAAUUAGAUUUUACCUAGCCUAUUAAAUGGGUUAUAUAACGAUUUGCAUUUCCCAAUGAAUACAAAAUCCAACUAGUUCCUACAUAAAUAAGAAAGGAAUAUAGGCGAUGAAAAAGAAAGAAAUAUCAAUCUCAUCAAGUUUGUUUAGUUACUAAUUAAUAAAAUUGAUACAUUUGGCACUAAGAUAAUUAUUAUUUUUUGUUCAAAUUAAGAUAAUUAUCUUUUGCAUGUAGCAAAAACUAAUAGGUAUCAAAUAAAAUUAAACUCUGAACUAAAAUAUAUUUAUGUUAAAAGAUAUAUAGUGCUUUCUGAAUUGGAAAAAAAAUCUGCUUAUUUAAAAAAAAAAAUCAAAAAAUUAAUAAUCUUAAGAUAAAAGAAAAUUUAAUAACUAUUAAAAUAUAUCUCAUCACCAAAUAUAUAUUUUUCUAAAAAUCAUACAAUAGCUAUUUACUGUAAAAGUAAAAAUAUCUGAUUUUGAAAUAAAUUUCUAUAAAUAUAAUUAUACAAUAAAAUACUAUAUUAUAUAAAAUAAAAUAUAUGUAUUGUAAAAAAUAUACUUCCAAAAAGUUGUAUAAUUUAUUUAGAUUUUGAUUUUUCACAAUAAAUUGUCCCUAUGUUUAUUUUUUAUAUUAAUGGCAUUUAAUGUAAUAAUAUACAUAGUACAAUUUAUUAUGCUAAUGUGAAUUACAUUUUAUAACAGUAUGUUAAUAUGUGUGAUUGUGAUUAUGAUUAUGUAUUAGACAGUGUAGGUUUAAAUAUAAUUUCUUUUUCAGUUUUUAAGUUUAUACAUAUUAAAAUAAUGUAUUCAUCAUAAUAUUUUUUAUUGUAAGUGAUAAUAUGUUAUGCAAAUUAAUUUUACUUUAAAAUAUAGAAGAGUUACUUACUCUAAAACAUAAAAAUAUCUGAUUUAUCAUUUAUAUAAUUUAUGAUAAAUUACUAAUAUAAUAAAAUCAAACUAAUUGUCUUAUAAAAGAAUACUAGGAUACAAACAGCGUUCAAACACAAUUUAUACCCUUUUUUUUUCAAGUUCACAAAAAAUUAAUUCAAUAUUUUACCGACAGCUAUAUAGCAAUUAUAUUAAUCAAAUAUUUUAACUUGCAUUUUUUUUACUUAUUUUUAGACGUGUGAAAUAUUUUUUUCGAAGGAAGCAAUGAAAUGUUCUCAUGAUUUUUUUAGUUGGAAUAUAUCUCAUGUUUUAAGAAACUUCAAAAUCAUAUAAUUGUUUGCCAUUGAAAAAAAAAUAUUUAUAGUAAAUUACAUCAAAAUUUAUAUAUUAAGUAACUUAAAUGAUGAAAUGAUUUUUUUAUAAACUUUAUAAAUACAAAUUUACGUAGAAUAUUCUAUAAACUUAAAUUGACAGAGUUUACAAAAUCUCUGAUAAAAUAUAAUAUUGUAAUUUUUUAUUUUAUAUCCAUAUUCUUAUAUUAAAAUUCAUAGCACACAAAUAAUAAUUAAUUGCAUUUUCAUUAUAGAUUAUAAGAUAUUUAUUGUUACAUUUAUAAUUGAUAUAGUUUAAAAAAUCUGAUUUCCUGAUAUAUAAAUUAUUAUUUUAUUGAAAUGGAGAAAUUUAAAAUAUUUUAAUAUAUAUAUAUAUAUAUAUGGUUUAGGAAUUCUGAUAUCUUUGUUAUAAAGUUUAUAAUUAUAUAAGAUAUUUAUAUAAAUAUAUAUCUGAAUUUAAAAUUUUAUAUUUUAAAAAUUUGUGUGUUUUGAUAUAUAUAAAUAUUAGUUCCAAAGUUUUUUAUCGACAUUUAUAUACUAGUUAUAUGAAUAAAAUAUUUAAUUUGCAUUUUUUGAAUUUAUUUUAGAUGUAUGAUAUAUUUUGUUUUGAAAGACUUGCUAAAAGUUGUUAUUAUUUUUAAAAAAUUGGAAUGAAUAUAGUAUUUUAAGAACAUUCAAAAUUUUGGUUUACAACUGAAAUAAUAAAAAUAAUAUUUACAGUUAGAGAUUACACUAAAGUUUGUAUUUUUAUUUAAAUUAAAUGAUGAUAAAAUUAUUUAUAAUCUUGCUGAUAUAAAUUUGUGUAGAAUAAUCUAUUAAACGUAGUUUGGUAGUUUACAAAAUUUGCGAUAAAUAUAUACUAUAAUUUUUUUUAUUUUAUAACCAUAUUUUAUAUAAAAUUCAUUAUAAAAAUAAUUAUUAACUGAAGUUUUCAUUUAAGAAUACAAGAUAUUCAUUGUUACAAGUAAAUUGAUAUAGUUUAAGAAAUCUGAUUUCUUUCUAACAUAAAUAAUAAAAAUCUAUGAUAAAUAAAUACAUAUUUGAAUUAAUAUAUAUUUAUAAAAUCUGAUUUAUUAAUAUAUAGGUAUUAUUACUAUUUUAGUGAAAUGGAAAUGUUUUAAAUAUUUAAGUAUAUGUGAUUAUAUAUGUAUAUCUGAUAUGGUUUAGGAAAUCUGAUUUCUUUGUUAUAAAAACUGAUAAUUAUAUAAGAUAUUAACUUAGAGAGAUGUUCAAAUUUAAAAAUGUAUACUUCUAUAAUAUGUUUGUUUUAAUAUAUAAAUAUUAUUAUUUUUUUAGGCUAUUAAAACAUAAUUCUUCAUAGCCUAUUAUUCAUAUUUUUGAACGUGUAUUAUUUGUGAGGUUAAUUUAAUUGAACCAUUAUAACUUUUUGAUAGUCAAAAAUAUUAUAGAUUAAAAAUUAUAUUUUAAUGGAAAGAUAUUUCCAAAAAAUAUAUAAUUUAUUUCUCUUUAGAUUUUGCACCACAAGUUGUCUAUGUAUAUGUUUAUGUUUAUUUUAGUGAUAUUUAAUCUAAAAAUAUAAUAGAAUUUGUUAAGGAUUAUUAAUAGAUUUCUUAAUUUUAACAAAUAAUUUGAUCACCGAGUUUCAGGUAUGUAAUCAGUAUGUUGUGGGUGGGAAUCGAUUCCAACGACUUCCACCUAUCAAUCAAAGGUUUUUACACAAAUUAGAAAGUUACUAUUGAAUAAAACACCUCACUUCUAAGUCGUUCUAUGAUUUGCUUAAAGAAAAAAAUGACUGCUAAAGAACUUAUACCACAUUGUCUCUUAAAUCUAGAAUCUAUAACACAUCAUAUUGUCUCUGAUAUCGUGAAGAUAAUUUUGACUGUUAAUGAACCUAUAUAUAACAUUUGUUGGUAUGUGUUGAGUUUUGAGCAAAACAUUACUCUGAAAUUAUUUGAGACAACUUGGUAUACAUAAUGGUUAAAAACCUUCAUUGAAGAACCUUACUCAUUGUAAAAAUAACUCAUUAUAAAAAAAUCAGUGGGAUAUGUGGGAAUGCGUUCGUUUUGAGAACGAUAACAAAUGAUUACAAUAAAAUUGUUUGCACUUUAUUAAAUCGAAAAUGAAAAAGGUUGAUGUGAAUCAUAAAAGACAAUAUUAUAUAAGCAUACUUUUGGGGCAAACCGUAUAUUUUUUGGGCGACCAUAACUAUAUGUCGCAAACAGUUUUAUCUUUUUUGACAUUAAGUUGAUGAGAUCUCCGAGUAUUAAAUUUAUCAUAUACAUUUAUGUUUGGGUUAAUAUAAGUUUUCCUACCAAUUGAAUUUUAAACUUACUAAUUAUUCAAUUGAUUCUGAUGAUGGUAUGUAAGCCAAAUUGACAUCCUAAUUAAAUGACAGUUAAGCAAUGCUUUUGUUUAAUUAUUACUUCUCGCGUGCCCCUAUUUCCUAUGGGCCAAAUCUCCUAUGGGUUCCUUGAGUCUGCUAUACCCCUAUUUUAUAAUUCUUUUGUCUCGCUGGUCACGUGGACAACGAUGAUCUCCGCCUUCGCAAUGCACGGGAUGGGCAAAGAAGCGGUCAACAUGUUCAAAGACAUGGAAAGACUGGGAUUGAGACCGAACAGAGUGACCAUGAUCAGUGUUUUAAACGCUUGUAGCCACGGCGGCUUAACAGAAGAAGAGUUUCUAGAGUAUUUUAACAAGAUGGUAAGCAAGUACAAGAUCACGCCGGAUGUGAAGCACUACGGAUGUCUAGUAGAUAUGCUGAGAAGAAAAGGAAGAUUAGAAGAAGCGGAUAGGAUCGCUUUGGAGAUUCCGUCUGACCAAAAGGCAGUGGUUUGGAGAAUGCUGCUUGGAGCUUGUAGCGUUUAUGAUGAUCCUGAGAUGGCGGAGAGGGUUACUAAGAAGCUGAUGGAGUUGGAGAGAAGUCAUGGAGGUGACUAUGUGCUUAUGUCUAACAUCUUUUGUGGUACUGGAAAAUUCACAGAUGGUGAGAGGUUCCGGAAACUGAUGGAUGUUAGAGGUGUAGCUAAACUUCCAGGGCAUUCGCAGUUAACAUAGCAGAACUUAUAAUAGUCUUGUAGUUAAGACUCCAACGUUCAUUGUACUGAUCAUAACAUUGUCAUUAUUUGAAGUUAAGAUUUUGAGUAGCUUUUAAGCUAAUUUUCACACUUAGAAGAACCCACUAACGCAAAGAUAUAAUAAGCUAAGAGUUAUCGCCCCAAAGUUCGGCCCAUGCUUGUUCACGUUUCAAUCCAACGGUAUUGAUCACGUUUCAAUCCAACCAUAAAAUAUUUUGUUUAUUCCAUAUAAUCUAUUUACUAUAAUUCUGAGCCUAACCUUUGAAUUUGGUAAAGAAAGGAGCAAACUUUUGCAAGAAAUUGUAGAAAUUCCCAAAAAGAAAGUGGGAAAGUGAAGAGCGAAUGACGACAAGAGUGUAAACUGAUCCAAGAAACGCCACAUCAGUACAAUUCACACUAAAGAUUAGAACUUUAGUUCCAUGUGUGUGUAAGGCCAACAACAAGAUAAUGGUAGAGAAAGCCCUGACACACUAUUGGCCAGCUCGUUGUCCUCUGUUUUUUUUUUUGGUCAAAACGACAUUGUCUUUUUUUUUUUUGAAAAAAGGGCUUUUUAUAUAUUAUAUAUGAUAUGUGCCUAAGAAGGCAAUGUUUUGGACAUAAAUCCAUUACAAACGAGGUCUUGCAAGCCAUUAAAUAGAAGGGGAUAAAGCCCAUUUUCAAAAGCAGGGUCAUGGCCCAAGUAAAAAAAAAGAAGUGACGACGGCUUCCGAACUCUUUGACGAUACGUGCAGAAGUGAUGUCGCGAAGGUGAUAAUCACAGGGGUGAUAAUCACGAAGGCAGUUGAUCUAUCAGCCACCAAUCCAAAUCUGGAAUAGAGUUGAGGCGAAAGCGGAGUUCUGAUCUCGAAAGCUGGAGAUUUUGUUUUUAAUCAGAGAGGAUGCAGCAGUGGAGAUGGAAGAUGAUGAUCGGUAGUGCUGACGAUGGAGACGGUUGUUUCGCUCAGUCCAGAUGAAAUAGAUCGAAGCCUGCCAAGCUAGGAGACUGAGGCAUCUCUCUGGCUUGGAGCAGGAGCGACGCUCAAGGUAGUGAAGGGUCUGGGACCAAGAGUGAUUUGCCACACAGUUUGCUUUUUGUGCUAAAGAGGCCCAUACUGCAAAGGAGAAGGGGCACUCGAAGAAGAGAUGAUCUCUAGACUCGUUUGCCGCAUUGCAGAGAAGGCAGAGGGGACUUGUGGAGAGACCCCAGCUGAUGAUACGAUCUCGUGUUGGGCAUCUAUUUAGAGUGACCAACCACGCAAGGAAGCUAUGUUUUGGAACGCCUCGAGAGAACCAGACAAUCUUGGACCAGGGGACAUGAGUUUGAUGCGGCUUGAUGAGGUUGUAGGUCAGACCCGUCUUGAAUGUUUGGGAACCGUUUCCUGGUUGUCUCCACUCAUACAAGUCAUGCGACUGAGAGAGAGUAAGAGUAGUGAGAAAGGUAUGGAGAGCCAGUUGAGAGUCAGAGCGAGGAGCUGGGAUAUGCCAUCCUCCCUCGUAGUGAAUGUCAGCCAAGGUAGCAUUUUGACGUAUUCCCAAGGCUGAUGUGGUGGUUAUAUUGAGGAACUCCCUAAUGUUUCCAAAAGGGCUCCAAUUGUCCGACCAAAACCGUGCGGAUGCUCCAUCUUCUAUCUUGAUGUGGAUCCAGCUGUAAGCAUACUCUCUAACUCGAAGUAGUUUCCUGAUUGCAUAGGAGUGUGAUUGCUUUUCCUUGAUUGUCCAGAAAUUACUCUUGCAAUCUCUGAGUAUGUGUUUUGUAAACCAGGCUACCCAUAUAGAUCCUGAUCGAAAGAACAGGAGCCAGACAAGCUUGAGAGUGCAUGCUUUGUUCCAGAGGUGGAGAUCACGGAUUCCCAAACCACCUUCCUCCUUUGACAAUGUAACCGUUUCCCACGAUACUCGAGCAGAGUGGUGCCCCUCUGUCGUCCCUUUCCAUAGGUAAGCUCCACAGAUAGAGUUUAUCAGUUUAAUGCACUUCUUAGGGAUAGUAAAAGUAGAGCACCAGAAGUUUGAAAUCCCUGCAAUGACUGUGUUGAUCAAUAAUAGCCGCCCUGCAAAUGAGAGAGACCUAGCGCUCCAGCUGUUAACUUUGUUCUUUACUUGUUGUAUUAGUGGUUCACAGUUAGCUAGAGAGAGUUUUUUAGUGCAUAGGGGAAUCCCAAGAUACCUGACAGGUAGAAGGCCAUGCGUAAUACCCGUCUCACUGAUUAUUCGAUCUAUUUCAGGUUGCUGGAUUCCACAGGAGAAGAAACUUGUCUUUGAAAUGCUGACCGCAAGACCUGAGACAUCAGUAAAGUUCUGGAUAAUCUGAAGGACAUUUUUCACCGACCGGAGUGAACCGUCACAGAAUAUGAGGAGGUCGUCUGCAAAGCAUAAAUGCGUUAGCUUAGAGUCCUUGCAGUGGUGGUGAUAGCCGAAACUUCCUUCUGCUGCUCCCCGAUCAAGCAAGAUAGACAGACAAUUCAUAGCCAUGACAAAGAGAUAAGGGGAAAGGGGGUCUCCUUGUCUAAGUCCUCUCGUGCUCCGGAAAUAGCCUUGGACAGUGCCAUUGAAGCCCACCAUGAAGCUCGGAGUAGUGACACAAGCAUGCAGCCGCAGAAGGUAAGCAAUUGGAAUGUUAAUUCCUUGCAGCAUAUUAAAUAUGAAUCCCCAAUCAAUGGUGUCAAAAGCUUUGGCUAUAUCUACUUUGAUUGUUACUCUUGCUGGACCCUUAUCUCUAUGGUAUCCAUGGACUAUUUCAGACGCCAGGAUGGUGUUUUCAACGAGCAGCCUUCCUUGGACAAACGCAGUUUGAUUGGGAAGGAUUAGUGAAGGUAGCAGGGGCUUCAGGCGCUUGACCAGCAGCUUUGAGAUGAGCUUGUAGGUUGUAUUACAGCAAGCAAUUGGCCUAUAGUCAGAGAUCGCAGAAGCACCUAUCCUUUUAGGCACUAGUGUUAGAAUGGUGGAGUUUACAGCAUAAGGUAGAAAACCUGUGAGGAGGAAGUUCUUUAUGCUCGCAGUAAUCUCACGUCCAACCACAGUCCACGCUGAUUUGAAAAAGCCAGAGGUAAGUCCAUCUGGUCCUGGGGCCUUGUUUGAAUUGAGUUUGAACAUUGUCGUUUUGAUCUCUUCAUCAGUGGGCAUUGUAACCAUUGUCAACGCAUUUUCUUCAGGGCAGCGAAAGUCAGAGAUCUCCUGAAACCAGAUGGGAGAGACUGCAGUAGUGAGUUGAGUUGGAGGAGCCAGGAGUUGUCUGAAGUGAGCGAUAGCCAUAGCACCCAUGUGGCUCGGAUCAGUUAUAACCUCUCCAGUGGGCAAGAUGAACGAGCGAAUCGAGUUGAAGGAGUUCCGUAUUUGCAUCAGUCGGUGAAAGAAGGUUGUGUUGAAAUCUCCUUCUCUUAGCCAGUUGAUGCGUGACCUCUGACGGAAGUAGCUUUCUUCUAUGGAUCUGAGGAAGUUCCAUUUCUCCUCCAGCUCCUUUUCCUUUUGGAAGUUCUCCGAAGUUGGGUUAGAUAACGCCUGCACCUGCACAUCUUUUAACAACAAGUUAGUCUCUCUCACUCUUUCUUGGAUAUUUGAGAAAUUCUCUCUAUUUAGUUUUUUUAGCUCUCUUUUUAUUUUUUUCAGUUUGACACACAAGUGAGAAAGAUCCCAAGCCAUGCCUCUGGACUGUUCCCAAGCCUGCAGCACUGUCUGGAAGAAAAGAGGGUGUUUUGUGAGGUAGUUGAAAAAUUUGAAAGGUCUGGUUCCGGGGGUAGGGAGGUCGACAGCCAGGUCAACAACAGAGGGGGAGUGAUCAGAGAUUUCAGGGGCUAAGAAAAAAGCUUGGCUGUGGGGAAAAGUGGCUAUCCAAGAUUGAUUGAUAAGGAUUCUGUCAAGUUUUUUGGCUAUGGGGUAGGAAGGGCAUUUGUUGGACCAAGUGAAUAGGGGGCCAGUGAAACGGAGGUCGAAGAGGCUGAGGUGGGAUAGGGUGUCUCUGAAUUGUGUCAUAUGAGGGUCAAAGCAGUUUACAGAGGGAAGGGAGUGCUCAGAAUAGUGAGUGAUCUGGUUGAAGUCACCUCCAACAAUCCAAGAGGAAGAGUCGAGGGAGUAAGUCUGCUGUACGUUGAUAAGGUCAGCCCAUAAAUCUGAGCGCUCCUCACUUGUAUUUGCUGCAUAACAAGCUGUUAGCACAAACUGUUGUAAGGGAGCUAUGGUGACUUCACACGUGAUUGAUUGCCUCGAUUGGUGUAGAAUGUUGACAGUGAGAUGAGGCUUCCAGAUUAGAAUGAUUCUGCCAUCAUGAUCUGAAGCAUGAUUUGAGAAAUGAUUCCACCCAUUGCUAGUUUUGGAUAGAACGUGAUUGAGUUGCGGCGCUUUGAUAUGAGUUUCCAAAAGAGCACCGAAGUGGGCCUUACUAGAGGCUAACCACUGACAAAAAGGGAGGUGCUUAUCCGGGUCAUUUAGACCACGGACGUUCCAAAAAAAUAUCUUGUUACUCAUAGAGAAAGGUUAAGGGUCUCUCCUUGGGGUAGGAGGGAGCCUUCAAAAGGAGUUUUUGGCGGAGUGGGAAGAGUUUGGUCAGGGAUAUGAACCGAAUCAGGAGGGUCAGAAACAGGAGCAGGGGAAAGAAUGGGUGGAGGGGGGUCAAGGAGACUAGAAUCAAGGGUGGAGAAGGCAUUUUUUAGAGUGAUGGAGAGGUGGGAUGGGGGAGAGGGGCGUUUUUUAGUGACUUUGUGUUUAAAGGGGGAUGAUCGCCUUGUUUGAAUAGGGUUUGCUGCAAGAGCUACAACAAAGUGGCUGUCCUUUGAAGAAGAGGAAAAGGUGAUGGGAGGGAGGAGGUCACGGGGAGGGGAGAAGGGGGCUUGGGAGGAGGGGAUAAUGGCUAGGGAGGAGAACGGGUUAGCACCAGAGGAGAUGGGCCUGAUCUCAAUCAAUCUUGACUCUGAGGCAGAAGAAUGAGGGGUUGACAUUAUCUCCUGCAGGUCUGCUUCGAAAUCAUCUGUCUCAGUUUCUGGAUACGGUGCAUCAGUCAUUUGUGUGUCUGGUUUUUGCUGCGCAGGCAUGUUUGUCUCUGGAGUUACUUCGUCAGAGCUAGGAGGUUGAAGGUCAGUUUUUUUCUCAACCCAAACAUGAGUAGCAGUUAGGCAGUCCUUUGAUAUGUGCCCUAUUUGUUUGCAGAAGGAGCAUACAGGAGGGGUCCAAGGGUACUCAACAUGGACAGGAAUGAUCUCUCCAGAGGUUCUUCUGAGCUCGAUCAAAGUUGGAAGGGGCUUUGUCAUGUCUGCCUCAACCUUUACAUGCGCAAUAUUGACGUCUGAGAUGUUCUUUGUAAACUCAUCUGUUUCUUUUGGCUCACCAAUCAGACCAGCAGCAAAACUGAGGCCUUCUAAAGUUCUCAGAUCAAGCGGGAGACCAUUGAGAUGCGCCCAAAGAGGAAUAGAUCCUAUAUCAACAGCGGAGACUGAUCCUCUAGAUGACCAAGGAGUGACCUGAAACAUGGCAGUUCCAACAUACCAUAUCCUUUUUUCAAGAACUUUUUUCCUGAUAUAUUCAUUUGGGAUUCUAACCAUGAUUGUUCUCUUUUCUUUGUUUGUGCGAAUGUCAAGCUUCUGACCUUUUCCCCACAUAAAGUUCAGGACGCUUUGGAUUGCUUGAUACGAGGGCAUCUUUGCAAGGAAGGAGCCAAGGACGAAAUCCUUGUGAAGCUCAGCUCCCCGUUGGAAGACUUCAUCAGGUAUAGUAACUUGUGGAACACCAUUUUCAGAGUAGGAUAAGGGUGCUACUCUUCGCAAGGUUUUAUCUGCUAUUGGCUUAGCUUUCUCAGCAUAGGAAAUGGGAGGGGAGGCAGGUUUAGGAGAUGGAGUAGCAGGCUGAGAGGAUGAUGAUUGGUUUGGUUUUGAGGUGGAAGGGUUUGGGUUUAGUUGAGGGAGUUUAAUGGUGGGGUUAUGGCCAGGGGAAUGGUUUGAUUUACUGGGAGUAUAGUUGGAAGGGUAAUUGGAUGAGUUCUUUGGAGGUAGUACAGUGAAACCCGUAAAACUGUUGUGAACAGUAACAUCAAGGGUAGAUUUAAAAUCUGCAGAUCUAGUAUGGAAAAGAGACUCUUUCACUUUUUCUGGUGCAGGACCAGAGGAGGAACAGAGUAGUAAAGAAGAUUUGCCAUUACCAGAUCCAAAAGAAGCAGUCCCUUUUAGAAGAGAAAUUUGCUUUUUUGAAAGAGGAGGAGAGGCAACAGUAGUUUGCAGGGUUGGGAAUUGGAAGUCAAAGGAAGGAGAGGAAGGGGAGAGGGGGUCGGGAGGGUCGGGGGGGUCCGGUGGAGGGGCAGAGCUACCAGCAGUAGCAGGAGGAAGCAGGACGGAGGCGGGCACAGGGGGGAACCAGGGGUUCACUUUCUCACUCAUCACUUUCUCUUCAAAACGACAUUGUCACCUUUUAGUUCCGUCUGAUCUGUAAAGUAACGUUAUUUGAUGAACACAACGUCGACAUCCUCCGGUGCUAGAAACGGAUUCCGAGACUGGAUUUCUUAGAUCGGAGAGAUCUUUUCCUUCGUCGUCAUCAUCGUUGUACAUUCUCAGGAUCUCCAACUUCAAAGUCGUCCAUUAAUGGAGAAAAAAUAGGGAUUUAGGUGAAGAUGGGAGAGAUUCUUUGGAUAAUAGGAAAAAAAAGGGAAAUUAGAGGAGCAAAAAUGGAGAAACAGAGGGAAUAUAAUAGAAUCGUGAUCUCCUUUUCUUUCUGGAUUUUAAAAUUUUCUCUCAUUUUAAUAUAACUAUAUGAUUUAAAUAAUUGAAGAUCAAUUUAAUUUUCUUGGUUAGAGAUCGAAUAGAGAAGGGUCCAUCUCUUUUGACAUCUCCCCCAUAUGAAUUUAUAUUUUCUUGACCGAAACUAUAGAUUGAUUUUAGUCUCAUUUUGAUUCUUACGAUAUGCAUUAAAAAUUAUUAAUGAUUACUAGUGGUAUUCCGGCGCUACUACCUGUCUGCAUAGCUGAAACUGGUGCGACAUUUUUGAGAUUCACUAACAAACAACUCAUGAUCUCUCAUGAUUACUUGCAUCAGUUCCAAGGUGGGUUUAUCAGUGCUGUUCGGAACAAUAGCUGCAAACACAGAUAGUUCUAGACGUGCAUUUGAUUCACCAGCUUCAAAAGAAAUGCUCCAGCAACAAUGAGCUCCAUCAUCUCUUCCCCCAUCAAACCAGAUAAGAAGCAGAUCCAAGGCAGUGACUCUGCAGUCUGCACAGAGGAUUUAAAGAUAACAACGCAGAAAAACUAUGAUGCCGGAAACUGGAGGUCACAUACUUCCAAUCUUUUCAGGUCAAGUUAUCUUAUGCUAACAGUAUCCCACAAUGAACACGGGUUCGUAUCUUAUGUACAGAACAUAAUCUAGAGUUUCACUAAACAACGACAAUAGUCUGGCAUCAACUUGCAAGAGUCAGGGAGAGUAAAAUAUUAAGAAGACAUUGUUUUGGUUAAAUGAGUCUAUCUAGAAUAAGUAUUAUGUUGGGAAAAAACGAAAAAGAUAUAUUGCAUUAUUAUAAUUUAGUAUCAAACAAAAUUCAUUCAUUAAAUCUAUCUUUCUUAUAUAGAGAACUUAAAAAAUAUUAAAUUGUUAAACGUAUACAAUGUAAGUGAGCAAUGUUAUAUAUAUGUGUGUGUGUGGUUUGGUUUGGUGUAUAACGUGUAAGUGGAAUAGGUUCUUUGUUAAAGAAAACCUUAAACAUCAAAAUUUCGUAAUAUAUAUCCCAAAUCAUGUCUCUAGUUCCGCAAAUAAAUUCUCAGAAAGGUGUUAGGAACACCUUUAUAUUUUAUAUUUUAUAGUUGGUUCUCUCUCGCUGAUUUACAGGUGAAGGAAAUAAGCAAAUAAUUUGAAUUGGUUACUGGAAAGCUAUACUACUUGGUUCAUAUGAAUACAACCAAAAAUCAUCUUCAACCUUAUCUCAAAGCCACCCUCCAUAAGCUUUGUAAAACCCUGUAUUUCUCACUAACAAACGUAUGAUGCUGAUUCUGUAGAAUCCCAACAGUGUUUCAGAAUAUUUUGAAAGUCAUACAUUCAAGCUAUAACAUGUAAAUCAUAACAGAUGCUUAUAAGGGUGCUAAGAUGUAGAUUCACCAAAACAUGUUCAGCUUCACAGGCCUAAUAUUAGUAAGCUUCCUCAUCUCCCCGUCCAAACCGACUAACACAGCUUCGUCAAUCAUCACUCUUGUUUGUGAUAGCAAGCUCCAGACGGUAUAUGGAAGACGUAAAUGGAUCCAUAUAAGUUGUUAGUUCGAGUGAUGAGGCUGGCUCCUGAUUGCGAUGCAUUUAAAUGAUGAGCCUUCCUCCUGAUUGCGGAAUCCGAAAAGUUCUUGAGGUAUCAGAUUCAACGGUUCUGUUAUCUCGAGGAAGGCAGUUGAAUCGUUGAAGCGUUUACCUUUGCGUUGAAGAAGAGCAUAUCGGUGCCCAUGGUCUCGCCAGCUUUCCUAGCAUCGCGAGGCUCCCAAAAUCUCAGGAUACGCACUUUAACGGUAGAGCUAACGACCGACAUUCAAAUGACCGAGUAGCUGACUGGAGCUUGCCAUUCUAAUCGCUGAGAGAUUUAAAAUGAAACUGAAUAAAUCAAAUGAACUGAUGAAUUACCCCCUUAAACACUGAGAUCUUCGUUGAUGGGAGCGGCUCCAAAAGUGCUUUCUGGUAGUCACCAACUCUUUAGACAUAACAGAAGCUUUCUGGUAGUCACCAACUCUCUUCUCGAAGAAGUUCGUUUUCCCCUGAAGCAAAAUCAACUCCAUCCAAUCAAACGGAUUCGCCACACCGUACACCUCCCGUACCCAAGCGCACCCAAAAGCCUAUCCGCCAUGAACUCGAUAUACUGACUCAUCAGCUCACGGUUCAUCCCCACCAACGCACACGGAAGCGCGUCGCACACAAACUUCCUCUCGAUCUCGACCGCGUCGCAUACGAUCGACUUCAUGCGCUCCUCCGUGAGCUUCGUCUUCAGGAGGGUAUAGAUCAGGCACGCGCAGUGCAAGCCUUCGUCUCAUGAGUAUACUUCCAGAUUUGCGCAAGUGAGGAUUAUUCACAGGCACAGAAAACACGUCUCCAAACAUAGAUUCCAAAAGCAAAACCUUCGACAUACAAAAUACAAAUUUUAUAAACAAAAUCGCAAACAAAUGAUCAUAUCAUAACCUAAACUCCACUAAAUACAGUAUAACAGCCAUGAAAGUGAAGAGGGGAGACAUGCCGGUGGAUUCCAUGCCUGUAGAUGUAGUUGUUUCUGCAUAGUUUCAAUUAGGGUUGGCUUUAUAUAGAAGGAGAUAGAGGGGAAGGUGGAAGAAACCGUUAAAUCGUAAUUAAAGAGCAAGAUUGGAUUACGGUAACGGUGAAAUGCAGAAAAUUUGAUCGGUGAUGACGAAGAGGAAUCGUCGAGGAAGAACAAACUUCACGCGUUUUCAGCCGUAGCGAGAUGGGCUUGAAUUAGAUCAAAAGUAAACACAGCCCAAACGAAAGUCUCGUUUUUGUGGACCAAAGCAUAUAUAUGACGUGUCAAAAUAGAAUCAUUUGAUUGGAUAAAUUUUUUGGCAGACGUGGACACGCUGAGCAUUCAGUAUAUCGACCUUUUAUUAUUGUUAGAUGUAAGAAAUAAAAUAAAAUGAGAUCCAAUAUGAGAUAAAAGGAUCAGAUUUAUUAGACACGACAACAAUUUAUUGAGAAGGAUGCAUCCAAUAUGAGAUAAAAGGAUCAAAUUUAUAGCUGCUGUCAAAAUGUUAAACAAAACAAUCAAACAUUAUAUAGAAACAUUCUUCACAGAUCAUACCAGUGUCUGAGAGUCAUCACCAGUUACAAUGUUCCCAACAGUUCGAAGCGCAGGAAUGAGAACCGUAGGUGAUGGAUGACUUGAAGAAAUAUAUAUAUAUAUAUAUAUAUUAGUCAGUACACUAACACUCAAUUUCUAAGAGGUAUUAAAAACAUCACAAAUUUGAAAAUGUCAAACACCAUUGUUGGGGGAUAAGAAUCUGAAGAACAAAACUACAAGACCAGCUAAUAUAGCAAUAAUAUAGCAAAAUUGAGCUAACCUCAGAAGCUCCACAAGUCGUGGACAGACACCAUCCUGGAUCACAGCCUGGAUCUUAUCAUUGGGGCCAUCUGAAAGGUAAGAUAGAGCCCAGCAGGCAUCUGUGAGAACUUCUUCAUCAUUUAGAUAGAUAAGUUGCCGAAGAACUGGCAGGGCAGGUGAAAGGCUUCACCUGGAACAUAUAAAUAUCAAACAUCAUGCUUGAAUAACGUGAGGAACGCAACCAAACAUGUAAUUAAAUUUUUUGACCCAUAAUAUAAGACUGUACAGACAAAUCAAGUUACAUAAGAUUCUCCAGUUCUACCUCUUCAAAUUGUGUUGGUGGUUUCCCACGGCAAAAGUCGGACAAGGUCCAUGUAGCAUUCCUCAGCAUGGAUAACUUUGAGUUUUCGUUUAACUGAGACAGCAAUGGUAUAAGAGCACCACAGCUAGCAACAUUCCCCAAGUCCCACACCGCCUACAACGGAUAAAUAUAUAAAUGUUUAUAAGAAAACAUUAACGUUUUAGCACCUAAAAACUGCAGAGAAACACUUGGCUGGUUAUAAUUUCAUAUCACCAAAAAAAUGUAUAUAUUUUGGAUCUAAACUACAAUAUAAAAUUAAAAUAGCUACAACCAUCUAGCUAGUUAGUGGCAAACCUGCUCUCGAACCUCAUCACUAGCAGAGCUAAGAAGCUCGACGAAGAUAGGUACCGCCCCAUGUUCAAUAACAACCCGAGUAUGGUCCGAUGUUCCUGACGCAACGUUGGUCAAAGCCCAUGCAGCCUCAAACUGCAAACGUACUUUAAAGUAAGCCACCAUACCAUUCUUGAGUCUAAAAUGUAGAAAUCAUAAGACAUACCUGAAGUUGUGGAUGGUCCUGCCUUCCAAGAAACUCCACAAAACGUGGGAUAACACCAGCUUUGAUCACUUCAUACCUAUAGAUAACAUUGUUGAAGUACACUUCAAUAGAUUUUGGUCUCUUUGAACUGUAGAAAAGCUUUGAUUAGGCCUCCUUGACUGCAACAGCCUCUUUGACCUCGGCGGCGGCUUCACUGCUCUUCUCCUUGACAGGUUCUUCCUUGGCAGGUUCCACUUCCUCUGGGACUACAAAAGCUGAGACUGGGAAAGUCCUGGAAAGUGUGGUUGGGGACUUAAACGUGAUCUUCUCCUUUUCCUCUGUAUAGAUCUCACUGACACUGACCCAAAUAAGAAGCUCCUUGGCCUUGACUCCAGUGAGCUUCUUGAUCUUACCCGUCUGAACCACGGCCGUGACCUCGGUUCCGUAGGAGACAAGCUUAUCGAUCGUUUCGAACUUGUGGGUGAUGCUCUGUUUCUGCUUCAGCCACACGACACCUGACUCUCUGUCGUACCCAACCUCUUCAAUGGUAGUAAACCAUUGGGCAUAGAUAUUUCUUUGAGGAAGACUUUUGUCUUCUCUCGGCAUAUCUCAUCUCCGGUGUACUUCUCUGCCUUAGCUCUCACCUCCUCUGUGACCAAACCCAUCUCUGCUCUGUUUUUUUAGUUUAGGGAAUUUGCGAUAGAUGGCUAUAAAACAAACUAUAAUUAGCUAUAUAGCCAUGGUACUGUUUCUUUUUCAUAAUACCCGUUAUAUCCCUAUUUCCUUGUAUGCCAACCUAUAGUCUAGCAACCGGAUAACCUGAAUGUAGACAAAUAAUUUUUAAUAUAUUAACAAAUAUUAAAAGAAAAGAACAAAAAUAAAAUCUCUCACAACGCUUUCUUCGUUAUUCUCUACCUCUUUCCAUCUUUCACUGAUUUGAUCUUCUUGUUCUUCUUCUUAUUUUCAGUUGAAGUUUUAAUUAAUCAAAUCAUUUCGUUUCAGGCUUCUUUGACUUCGAUAAUGAAAAGAACACAAAACUGAUCCCCAAAUCUCCAGAAAAUUUCUGACCAACAAAACUGAUAAUUUUUUCAACAAAUCCUUUCUUUUUGUGAUAUGGUGGAUGUAGAGGUGCUUUGUUUCGUCUUGGUUUUGCUGGAGCAAGCAACAACUUCUUCUACCUCUGAUCGGAGCUUCUAGAUAUGAGCUUCUCGUAGGCGCUCCGGCUUCUCUCCUCUCUGCAAAUCGACGGGCUGUGGUGGCCAAUACUCUCUCUUAAAAGUUGUUUGGUCUGGUGGCAUGUGUUGUGAAGGGAAAUAGUUCGCUUAUGGUGAGGUCGAUUUCAGAUCUGGAGAUCCUUGUUCAUGGCUGGAGACUAUGGUUUGCCUUUUUCUUCUGUUGUUUUCAUGCUGUACGUAUGGAGUGAUCUCAACACUGCCUCAUCCUCUAGCCUGUGUUUCGCUGUUGCUUGGGUGUGAGCUUUCCAACUCUGCUUCUCUAGUUAGUUGAAGUUUCGCUUAGGAACGGAUGUUCUUCUUAGGUAAGCUCUCGGGGCUUCCUCCUCUUGCCGUCGAUGUCCUCCCGGCUUUGUGUUCUCCAUAGUCUUAUUUAGGCUCUCAAUCCGUGGUUGCCAGUUAGUGGUUGGGAGUUUGAGGUUUUGUUGGGGUGGUUCUUUGGUGCUCCGUGGGUUGAAGUUCUCUGUUUUAAUGAUCCUUCCAGUUGUUGCUGACUUGCUGGUGUGCUCUUUUGACCUUGCUGCUUCGCUAGAUUAGUCUGUUUCUUGGCUUGAAGGUUAAGCAAGUGGUGGUUUUAUCUUUGCUCGUUGAUGCAUGGAUCAUUGUCUUAGGUUCUUUGAUUUAUUGAUUUCUUUUUGACUUUGUCUUUGUGUCUCUUAGAGUUGUUUGGUUAUCUAGAAUGAGCUUGCUUGUUAUGCUCUGUUUUUCAUGUCUUUCUAGUCUCCCAUUUGUGGGCUUUUAGACUCAGGGGAUGAGUUUCUUCUAUCCUCCUGCUGUAUGUCUCUCGAUCUUGUAUUCCUCAUUGAUAUGGUAACGAAAAUUAAUUUUCAAUGUGAAAAAAAAAUUGAUAAUUAAUCAAGUAUUGUUUAUUUAUUCAAAUUAUUGUCAAGUAAAUUUUAAGAUGUUGAUAUUUUGUGUCGUGAAAUUUUUCUGUUUAUGUUUAGGUCAACAUGCAAAAUAAACGGUUUAAAACCUGGUGGAGAUAUAUGACACAUUGACACCCAUCUAUCUACCCACUUGCUUUUGAACCUAUCAUACGUCAAAACCCAAAGGAAUCUCUUAUCUUCUCAAGUAGCUGGUAGCAGGACUACCCAAAUAGGCUUGUCAAAUCUUGUCGAGGCCAUAAGGGUCAUUUUACGAUGAUGAAUUUUCGUGUUCGCAAAUUAAUAAAAAAAAAUGCACACUUGUGCAAUAUCUUUCUCCAAUUUGUAUAUUGAGCUAAUUGACCCUUUAGUUUAAGCUUUACCGCAAAGCUGAAGUUGUGUGUUGUGAUAAGAGGCGACUUAACCUUGUUAUAUAUAGGUUGUGUGGUAUGCGGUGCAUGUAAAAUGCAUUAACGGGCAUGGUUGAGCAGGUUAUGGGUGACUAUAGCAAUCAUCAACACACAACAAUUAUUGUUGUGAACAAUGUAACCUGAAAACGAGAUAUUGCAGCCAAUAUUCCUCCACAUGUGAGAUUAUGUUAUAGUAUUAUUAAUUAUUUGUGAAGUCAGUAGAUAACACUUCAUUGUCAAGAAACUGUAUUUUGUUUACAUUAUGGCAAUAGCAAGUUGUUCACAUUAUAUUUAGAGGUUCUUCUUAUAGCUAAACAUAUGAUAACUCGAAUUAAAUUUUCAAUUGACCAAAAGUUGAGAUGAUGUUGAAACCCUAGGAAUAUCUUUCAAUUUUCCGAUGAUAAAAUCUUCCUCUAAUUCAGGAUCUAAAAUGGGGUUGAGGGAGAUUGUCACAGUCUUUAAACACUUAGAAUUGGCUAGGAUGUAUGUCAAGAAUUCUUCCUCUUCUUCUCCGUGUCCAUAGUAUCUCCAUUCAAAUAUUUUUAGAUGUGACGACAAGCAUCCAGGAAUAGAACUUGGUUGAUUCCAUGAAAGUGGGACAUCCUCGGGUUCAGAGGCAAAUUCCUGUGAAGCAAUGGUGCAUGGCCGUAUGUUAAAAAAAAAGUAACUACUAUUUACCAAAGCUUGAAGAAAAGGAGGGUACGUACAUUAUUAACUACAAGUUCUUCAAGUUUCGGAGUAUUUCCAAGUAAAAGUAAGAGUGGUUCCACGCAGUUUGAUCUACUUGGAUCUACAGAUAACCUAAGAAGUCGAGAAAAUCUUAGGGUGCUACAACGAACAAGCUGUGACAAAACAAACAACAACUUAUAAGUAGAUGCAACAAUGUAAAUCACAACAAGCAAUCAAUAUAUAUAGAUAAACUGAGCUACCAUUUCAUCUUCGAAAGUCAAGACAAGAGACAAGAUCGCCGAAGAAGCUGUUAUGAUCUUGUCAAAAAGAGAUAAACAGUCGACACUAAUAUGUGCCUCCUCAAGACAAGGCAUAUUCCCGAUCGACCAAGAGUGUCUUGAAUAAUCAGUGACGUUAAACUUUAUUAAUGCCGGAGUAUCUAUAACCAAACAACUACCGCUAUCCACUACAUCAGUGUCAUCUAGCAGCCAUGUUGUAUUAUAAUACCAUAACAUCCAUAGAGUAGGAACUUUCACAAUAAAGUUUGUCAGAUUAUCACUCUUCUUUCUUUUCACGAUCAAUAUUCCAAGGACAGGGCAACUAGAUAAGAACCUAGCGAAAGUAUCCUCGUCUUUAUAUACCACACAGGAAAGUUGAAGUAUUUCAAGUGAUGGAAGGCAGGAAGGGGAAGAAGAAGAAGGGAAAUCAACAAGAACCUUGUUAGAUAGAGUCAAUUCUUUGAGUGUUUCGCAGGUGUAAAGGCUCUUAGGCAAUGUGGUUGGACCUGCGGACCAGCGAAGCUUGAAUUUUACCACGACCACACCGCGAUCAACAGCCUUUUCAACCCAAUUUCCGACAUUAGCAUCACUAGGACAUCGUCGACCAAGACUAAUAAGCAAUAUUUCUAAGACAGGUGCUUUGUGAAGUUUCAGUGACUUGUCCAAAAACCACCAAAUGCUCUUGCUUUCAAGAUCAUCAUCACCAUCAUCAUUAUCAUCACCACCCCAAUCACGAGCUUGGUUGACAUCAUUGGUUUCAUUGUAAUCAAGGCUAGGCAACAUCAUCCAUAUAUAGCGCCACCUUUUGGACAAAAUCAUGGUGGCUACUGCUUCUUUAAUCGGGACAAGCAACAAAAUCGUCACAAGCAACUCUUCGGGCAAAGCACUGAUCCUGUCUUCACAGUUUAUCUCUUCAAUUUUGGCUUCCGACAUCUUCACGAGGAAAACCCAAGAAUUAAGGAUUCGAAGUAACAAGCAACACAACAAAAUCGUUAUGACCAAAAUAAUAGGAUUGACGUAGCUUAUCUAGCCUAUAUAAAGGAGUUAUAUAAUGAUUUGCAUUCAUUCAUCAGGUUGUGUUUAUAUACAACUAGUUCCUACAUAAAUAAGAAAGAAAUAUAGGCGAUGAAAAAGAAAGAAAUAUUAAUCUCAUCAUGUUUAUUUAGUUUUUUUUUUUUUGACAUCCAUCAUGUUUAUUUAGUUACUCAUUAAUAGAAUUGAUACAUUUGGCACUAAGGUAAUUAUUAUUUUUUGUUCAAAUUAAGAUAAUUAUCUUUUGCAUGUAGCAAAAACUAAUAGGUAUCAAAUAAAAUUAAACUGUGAACUAAAAUAUAUUUAUGUUAAAAGAUAUAUAGUACUAUCUUGAAUAAGAAAAUUUAUUUAGUUUUUUUUUUUUUGACAUCCAUCAUGUUUAUUUAGUUACUCAUUAAUAAAAUUGAUACAUUUGGCACUAAGGUAAUUAUUAUUUUUUGUUCAAAUUAAGAUAAUUAUCUUUUGCAUGUAGCAAAAACUAAUAGGUAUCAAAUAAAAUUAAACUGUGAACUAAAAUAUAUUUAUGUUAAAAGAUAUAUAGUACUAUCUUGAAUAAGAAAAAAAUCUGUUUUUUUAAUCAAUUAAUUCAAAAAUUUAUUAAUAUUAAGAGAAAAGAAAUUAUAAUAAUUAUUUAUAUAUAUAUCAUCACAAAAUAUAUAUUUUUAUAAAAAUCAUACAAUAGCUAUUUACUGUGAAAAGUAUAAAUUUCUAUAAAUAUAAUUAUACAAUAAAUUACUAAUAUUAUAUAAAAUAAAAUAUAUUUUUUGUAAAAGAAUAUACUUCCAAAAAGUUGUUUAAUUUAUUUCUUUUUUGACUUUUAACAAUAAAUUGUCCCUAUGUUUAUUUUAAUAUUUAUGGCAUGUAAUGUAAUAAUAUAUAUAGUAGAAUUUAUUAUGCUAAUGUAGAAUUUAAGUAAGUAUCCUAUAAAUUUAAUUUGAAAAUUCACAAAAAAAAAUAUAAUAUUGUAUUUUUAUAUUAUAUUAAUAUUUUUAUAUAAAAAUACAUAUUUUAUAUUGGGCCUAAUGGGCUAUAAAGGACACUCAGUUGGGCCUAUGGAUUAGAAUUAAAACGCUAAGAAAACACGCGCAAGAGUUUGAAGAUCUGGAGAAAAAAUUUCUGGGAAAAUUCUGUGUUUCUCGGAGGGAAGAUCCGUAUAUUCCAUAUCCGAAAGGUGUUUCGUUAUUCUUCUGAUCGGCGUCGGGUUGAUCCAGUUGGAUAAUUCGAAAGAUGGAUCCUAACCAGGUGAGAAUGAUUAAUUUCUGAGCUCGAUUGCUUAUCAGAUUCUCGAUUCGCCUCGAUUAGCUGCUCGAUCUGGACGUGAUUGUGUUAGAUCUGUGCUCUUCGUAUUCGUAUUAGAACUUGGAAGGCUUGAGCUAGAUAGAAAUGCUAGGUUAAGAAUCGGUUUAAUCGCGAUAAUGCGUAGCGAGAUUAGACUCAGAUGUGAUUAUUCUCGUUUGUUAAUUCAAUGCAGGCACCAGUUGAAAACUAUGCGAAUCCGAAGACGUGUCUCUUCCAUGUUCUCUUCAAGGUAUGAGGAGCCUGAGUAUGAGUCUUUUUAGACUUUUUUAUAAGUGAGGUGGAGAAUGGUAACAUGUUUGUUUGUUUUUGGGGGCAGGGUGCUGCGUUGGCGUUUUACAUUCUAUCGGCUCUCUUCUUCAACAGCUUUGUAAUCAUCUUUGUGGUGACUGUUCUUCUUGCGGCGCUUGACUUCUGGGUGGUUAAGAAUGUGAGUGGGCGUAUACUUGUUGGUCUCAGGUGGUGGAACGAGAUCAAUGACUUGGGUGAAAGUGUCUGGAAGUUUGAGUCUCUUGACCAGGAGGUUACCCGCCUUUUUUGCUUAAUAUUUUUACUUUAUUCAAUAGACUUUUUGAAUACUGAUUCAUUUCGUUUGUGUGCCUGUGUCAGUCCUUGGCUCGGAUGAACAAGAAAGACUCGUGGCUUUUCUGGUGGACGCUUUACCUUGCAGUGAGUAGUUCCUAUCUUUGACUACAGUUUGUAGCGUAUGCGUAUAUGACUUAAACCUGUUUGCAAUGCACCUGAAGCUUUAGUUGAGCAUUAGGAGUAAAAAUAGGCAAGAAUGAGCGAAUGGUAAUCAAAUGUUUUGUUACGGUGAUGUAUAAGAAUUUCAGAGCAGUCUUAUAGUAUCGUAUAUUGGCCAUAUAUAGAUGGCUGAGUUUUCUCACCCCACCGACAAGCUGCCGUUUAAAUGAUUUUUAUCUAAGAGUUUGUGAGAAAUGGUUCUCCUUGUGAGUGGAAUCACAUGCAGAUCACAUUGCAAAAUAGGCAAAUUAGGGAGAAGAAAGUUGGCCAUGUUAUUGUGCAUGUUGAAGUUGCAUUAGUAUAUCCUAUGAUCCUGCAUUAUCAGGUUGACUAAUACUUGGUAGCUUAAAAACCUAUAGGCUCAGUUGCAUUACAAGCGACCAAUAGAGAGUAAGAAUGAGCCUUGAGAUGGUGAUAGCAAUGGGUUUAGUGUCUAGAGUCAGCAAUUACAAACUCGUGAAUAUAUUAUGCUGUCUUUUACCGGAGCUGAAUCUUGUUUUUUUUUGUUUGUCAUUUCUUCAGGCAGCUGCGUGGUUAGUCCUUGGGAUAUUUUCACUGAUAAGGUUUCAGGCCGACUAUCUUCUUGUUGUCGGCGUUUGCUUGUCCCUCAACGUGGCUAAUAUCAUCGGCUUCACAAAGUGCAAGAAAGGUAAGAUCCAUUCCAGUAUAGCUCUUAUAAUAGUCAAAUGGGCUAUAGAUCAUUAGACUUAACACUUUUUAUUUGUUGGCAGAUGCAAAGAAACAGUUUCAGCAGUUUGCCUCACAGACAAUCGCAUCGCGGUUCCAGUCCACGGUACAAUCUGCCUUCACCCUUGUCUGAAAAGAAGAAAAGGUUUUAGUGAGAGCAAAGACAGUUGUACAAAGAAGAUUUGCCAUAAGCAAACAACAUGUUUUUUUGACUGAUUCGUUUUCUCAAUAUACUAUUUUGUAAGGGAUUAAGAAAGAGAUUUAUUAUAUUAUGUCUUCUUACAUGUAUUUUCAUUUUCGACUUACCUUGUUUAAGAAACUUUUUGAGGUUGUAAAACAUUUUGAAAAGAUCUCGAUGUAGCUUUCACUUUAUAGCUUGCUAAUAUGUUUCCAGUGUUCUUGAAGUCACAUACAGAACCAACUUCAAUGUAGUCUAUAGAUAAUUACGGUACUUUUUGUAUAACAGGAUGAUGUUAUUGACAUCUUAUUACAUAUAAAACAUGCAGAAACGAGGGGUAGGUAAUACAUGAGAGUAAGAGCAGUGAGAAACACUAACUCUCAAUAGUCUGUUUACAUUGUUGAAGUACACUUCAAUAGAUUUUGGUCUCUUUUAACUGUAGAAAAGCUUUGAUUAGGCCUCCUUGACUGCAACAGCCUCUUUGACCUCGGCGGCGGCUUCACUGCUCUUCUCCUUGGCAGGUUCUUCCUUGGCAGGUUCCACUUCCUCUGGGACUACAAAAGCUGAGACUGGGAAAGUCCUGGAAAGUGUGGUUGGGGUCUUAAACGUGAUCUUCUCCUUUUCCUCUGUAUAGAUCUCACUGACACUGACCCAGAUAAGAAGCUCCUUGGCCUUGACUCCAGUG
rnacentral:lncRNA from 1 species